GAUUUUUUUUUUUGUCGUUACCUUGCUAAAGGCAUUGUUCGGAUAUACUUGAAUUGUUUCUUCUUGGUGAAAACCUGAACUCUAGCCUUUGGUGGUCGGAUCCGAUGACGGCAGCACUUGAGUGUCACUUCCUUUUAACGAGUCCAAAUUAUGUGAUGAUUUUGAUAGUUAUUUUGUGACUAUAUGAUAGGCUUUGUAAAAAUUUACCAUAUUCGUGCACUACUUUUUGUCGGUAUUCCUCACGUAACAUCUUUUGGAGCAAAUAUAGUUUUAUGGAAGGAAUCCCAGAAAAUGAUGAUGGAAUCACGUUAAUUAAUGUGAUAAUAAACAACCAUAAAAAGGAAUGAAGCGAAGGGAUAAAGGAGGAGCUCGUGCGGUGCUUCCAGAGCCAAAGGCGGCCUAGCAUACGAGUGCGCCCGCUCGUGUGCCCAGUCGUAUGAGGUGCCAGCGCCAUCGCCUCCACUACUUCCAUUGCGGUCAUAUGGAUUGUCUAGCUCUUUUUAUAAGUUCACACUUUUGCUUGCGUUGACUAGUGACUGAAGCUUAACAUGGUAUCAAAGGCUAAGGUCUUGAGUUCAAUCCUAGCUUUCGCAUUUAUUCAAAAAUUGCGGCCGCCCAUGUUUGUGUCCACACGUAUAGGUCUCUUGAGGCAUACCUUUGAGUAUAUCCAUGUGUUGACUUUCUACAUCACACGUGAGAGGGGGUGUUGAAGAGUAUAUGUAGAUUGUCUAGCCCAUGCAGAACCUCGAACACAUGAGUGUGCGAAGAAUCAAUACACGUAGAUGUGGGGACUUGAAACAUUGGGGGGGGGACAAAUUUAAGGGUCCACGAGAAGGCUGCCAUAGUGUGUUGGAGCUGGACUAUGGUUGGACCGUGAGAGAAUACUAAGGCUGGUUGUAAUGGGAGUAUCAUAAGAGCAGCUCCAGCCGCGUCCCUAACAAGCCCUCCAAGGCCACUUUUUAGCGUCGGCGCUGCAAAAACGGCCCAGUCGCGUCCUCAGGAGCCAAAUUUUCGCCCGUUAGGCACGAAACUGGUGCCGGCGGACCCAGACUAAACCCGGCGCACUGGGGGCGCCCGAGGGCGCCGGGGUAAUCAUUUUUGGCGCGAAAGAACGGCAGGCCCGCAGAGUCAGCGACCCCCGCGCCUCGUCGUCCUCAUCGCCUCGGUUUCCCGUGGGGAAUUGCUACCUCUUGAGCACUGCGUUGGAUUUCCCCGAAGAGGAGAGGAUGAUGCAGCAAAGUAGCGUAAGUAUUUCCCUCGGUUUUUGAGAAGCAAGGUAUCAAUCUAGUAGGAGGCUACGCUCAAGUCCCGCGUACCUGCACAAAACGAUAGCUCCUCGCAACCAACGCGAUUAGGGGUUGUCAAUCCCUUCACGGUCACUUAUGAGAGUGAGAUCUGAUAGAGAUAAUAUUUUUGGUAUUUUUGGUAUAGAGAUGCAAAGUGAAAAGUAAAAGGCAAAGUAAAAAAGCAAAGCAAGAUUAAAGUGAUGGAGAUUGAUAUGAUGAGAAUAGACCCGGGGUCCAUAGGUUUCACUAGUGGCUUCUCUCAAGAGCAUAAGUAUUCUACGGUGGGUGAACAAAUUACUGUUGAGCAAUUGACAGAAUUGAGCAUAGUUAUAAGAAUAUCUAGGUAUGAUCAGGUAUAUAGGCAUCACGUCCGAGACAAGUAGACCGACUCCUGCCUGCAUCUACUACUAUUACUCCACUCAUCGACCGCUAUCCAGCAUGCAUCUAGAGUAUUAAGUUAAAAACAGAGUAACGCAAUAAGCAAGAUGACAUGAUGUAGAGGAAUAGUUUCAUGCAAUAUGAUAAAAAAACCAUCUUGUUAUCCUCGAUGGCAACAAUACAAUACGUGCCUUGCUGCCCCUUCUGUCACUGGGAAAGGACACCGCAAGAUUGAACCCAAAGCUAAGCACUUCUCCCAUGGCAAGAAAAACCAAUCUAGUAGGCCAAACCAAACUGAUAAUUCGAAAAGACUUGCAAAGAUAACCAAUCAUAUGUAAAAGAAUUCAGAGAAGAUUCAAAUAUUAUUCAUAGAUAGACUUGAUCAUAAACCCACAAUUCAUCGGUCUCAACAAACACACCGCAAAAAGAAGAUUACAUCGAAUAGAUCUCCACGAGAGAGGGGGAGAACAUUGUAUUGAGAUCCAAAAAGAGAGAAGAAGCCAACUAGCUAAUAACUAUGGACCCGAAGGUCUGAGGUGAACUACUCACACUUCAUCGGAGGGGCUAUGAUGAUGUAGAAGCCCUCCAUGAUGACGGCCCUCUCCGGCGGAGCUCCGGAACAGGCCCCAAGAUAGGAUCUCGUGGAUACAGAAAGUUGCGGCGGUGGAAUUAGGUUUUUGGCUCCGUAUCUGAUCGUUUGGGGGUACGUAGGUAUAUAUAGGAGGAAGGAGUACGUCGGUGGAGCACCGAGGGGCCCACGAGGCUGGGGGGCACGCCCUAGGGGGGCGUGCCCCCCACCCUCGUGGCCGCCUCUUUGACUCCUUGGAGUAGGGUCCAAGUCUCCUGGAUCACGUUUGGUGAGAAAAUCACGUUCCCGAAGGUUUUAUUCCGUUUGGACUCCGUUUGAUAUUAUGUUUCUCCGAAACUCUGAAAUAGGCAAAAAACAGCAAUUCUGGGUUGGGCCUCCGGUUAAUAGGUUAGUCCAAAAAAUAAUAUAAAAGUGUAAAAUAAAGCCCAAUAUAGUCCAAAACAGUAGAUAAUAUAGCAUGGAGCAAUCAAAAAUUAUAGAUACGUUGGAGACGUAUCAGGCAUCCCCAAGCUUAAUUCCUGCUCGUCCUCGAGUAGGUAAAUGAUAAAAAGAGAAUUUUUGAUGCGGAGUGCUACUUGGCAUAAUUUCAAUGCAAAUCUUCUUAAUUGUGGUAUGAAUAUUCAGAUCUGAAAGAUUCAAGGCAAAAGUUCAUAUUGACAUAAAAAAUAAUAAUACUUCAAGCAAACCAACAAAGCAAUUAUGUCUUCUCAAAGUAACAUGGCCAAAGAAAGUUCAUCCCUACAAAAUCAUAUAGUUUAGUCAUGCUCCAUUUUCAUCACACAAGAAUGUUCUCAUCAUGCACAACCCCGAUAACAAGCCAAGCAAUUGUUCCAUACUUUAAUAAUCUCAAACUCAUAAACUUUCACGCAAUACAUGAGCGCGAGCCAUGGAUAUAGAACUAUGGGUGGAAUAGAAUAUAAUGGUGGGGGUUAUGUGGAGAAGACAAAAAAGGAGAAGAUCUCACAUCAACGAGACUAAUCAAUGGGCUAUGGAGAUGCCCAUCGAUUGAUGUUAAUGCAAGGAGUGGGGAUUGCCAUGUAACGGAUGCACUAGAGCUAUAAAUGUAUAAAAGCUCAACAAAAGAAACUAAGUGGGUGUGCAUCCAACUUGCUUGCUCACGAAGACCUAGGGCACUUGAGGAGGCCCAUUGUUGGAAUAUACAAGCCAAGUUCUAUAAUGAAAGAUUCCCACUAGUAUAUGAAAGUGACAAAACAAGAGACUCUCUAUUAUGAACAUUAUGGUGCUACUUUGAAUCACAAGCAUGGAAAAAGGAUAGUAGUAUUGCCCCUUUUUAUUUUUAUUUUUUUAGGCCUUCUUUUUUUUUCUUUGGCCUUUCCUUUUUUUGGGACAAUACUCUAUUAAAUGAUGAUCAUCACACUUCUAUUUAUUUACAUCUCAAUGAUUACAACUCGAUACUAGAAGAAAGUAUGACUCUAUAUGAAUGCCUCUGGCGGUAUACCGGGAUAUGCAAUGAAUCAAGAGUGACAAGUAUGAAAGAAUUAUGAAUGGUAGCUUUGCCACAAAUACUAUAUCAACUACAUGAUCAUGCUAAGAAAUAUGACAAUGAUAGAUGUGUCAUGAAGAACGGAAUGCUGGAAAGUUGCAUGGCAAUAUAUCUCGGAAUGGCUAUGGAAAUGCCAUAAUAGGUAGGUAUGGUGGCUGUUUUGAGGAAGAUAUAGGGAGGUUUAUGUGUGAAAGAGCGUAUCAUAUCACGGGGUUUGGAUGCACCGGCGAAGUUUGCACCAACUCUCAAUGUGAGAAAGGGCAAUGCACGGUACCGAAGAGGCUAGCAAUGAUGGAAGGGUGAGAGUGCGUAUAAUCCAUGGACUCAACAUUAGUCAUAAAGAACUCAUAUACUUAUUGCAAAAAUCUACAAGCCAUCAAAAACCAAAGCAUUACGCGCAUGCUCCUAGGGGAUAGAUUGGUAGGAAAAGACCAUCGCUCGUCCCCGACCGCCACUCAUAAGGAGGACAAUCAAAUAACACCUCAUGUUUCAAAUUUGUUACAUGACGUUUACCAUACGUGCAUGCUACGGGACUUGCAAACUUCAACUCAAGCACUUCUCAAAUUCACAAUUACUCUACAAGCAUGACUUUGAUAUUAUCACCUCCAUAUCUCAGAACAAUUAUCAAGCAUCUAACUUUUCUUAGUAUUCAACGCACUCAAAAGAAAGUUCUACAAAUCUUGAAUACCAAGUAUUUUAUUAUUAAGCAAAUUACCAUGCUAUUAAGACUCUCAAAAUAAUCUAAGUGAAGCAAUGAGAGAUCAAUAGUUUCUAUAAAACAAAUCCACCACCGUGCUCUAAAGGAUAUAAGUGAAGCACUAGAGCAAUACUAUCAAGCUCAAAAUAUAUAAGUGAAGCACAUAGAGCAAAACUAUCAAGCUCAAAAGAUAUAAGUGAAGCACAUAGAGUUUUCUAUUAAAUUCCAAUUCAUGUAUGGCUCUCUCAAAAGGUGUAUACAUCAAGGAUGAUUGUGGCACACUAACAAACAAAGACACAAAUAAUACAAGACGCUCCAAGCAAAACACAUAUCAUGUGGUGAAUAAAAAUAUAGCUCCAAGUAAAAUUACCGAUGGAAGUAGACGAAAGAGGGGAUGCCUUCCGGGGCAUCCCCAAGCUUUGACUUUUUGGUGUCCUUGGAUUAUCUUGGGGGUGCCAUGGGCAUCCCCAAGCUUAGGCUCUUGCCACUCCUUGUUCCAUAAUCCAUCAAAAGAAUUUACCCAAAACUUGAAAACUUCACAACACAAAACUCAACAGAAAUCUCGUGAGCUCCGUUAGAGAGAAAAAACAAAAGACCACUUAAAGGUACUGUAAUGAACUCAUUAUUUAUUUAUAUUGGUUUUAAACCUACUGUAUUCCAACUUCUCUAUGGAUUAUAAACUAUUUUACUAGUCAUAGAUUCAUCAAAAUAAGCAAACAACACACGAAAAACAGAAUCUGUCAAAAACAGAACAGUCUGUAGUAAUCUGUAACUAAUGCAAACUUAUGGAUCUCCAAAACUUCAGCCAAAAUAGGAAGACCUAGGCAAUUUGUUUAUUGAUCAGCAGCAAUUGGAAUCAGUAUUUUAUCAUGUUCUGGUGAGUUUUAAUAAUUCGGGCACUGAACGCAAAGUUUCUGGAAAUUACAGCAAGAUCAAAUAACUAUCAUCCAAGAAGUUCCUAUAGGUUUAACUUGGCACAAACACUAAUUAAAAGACAAAACCACAUCUAACCAGAAGGUAGAUGGAUUAUUUAUUCCUAAACAGAAGCAAAAACAAAAAAAAUUAAAAUAAAAUUGGGUUGCCUCCCAACAAGCGCUAUCGUUUAACGCCCCUAGCUAGGCAUAAAAGCGAUGAUAGAUCUAGGUAUUGCGAUCUUUGGUAGGCCAUCCAUAAGUGGCUCUCAUGAUAGUUUCAUAUGCCAAUUUUAUUUUCUUUCUAGGAAAGUGUUACAUGCCCUUUUUAAUGUAAAUUGAAAUCUAAUAUUCCCUUCCUUCAUAUCAAUAAUUGCACCAACCGUUCUAAGGAAAGGUCUACCGAGAAUAAUAGGGCAAGAAGGAUUGCAAUCUAUAUCAAGAACGAUAAAAUCUACGGGCACAUAAUUCCUAUUUGUUACAAUAAGAACAUCAUUAAUUCUUCUCAUAGGUUUCUUAAUAGUGGAAUCCGCAAGAUGCAAGUUUAGAGAGCAAUCAUCAAAAUCACGGAAAUCUAGCAAGUCACGCAAAGUUUUGGGGAUAGUGGAGACACUAGCACCCAAUUCACACAAAGCAUAAAACUCAUGAUCUUUAAUCUUAAUUUUAAUAGUUGGUUCCCACUCAUCAUAGAGUUUUCUAGGGAUAGAAACUUUCAACUCAAGUUUCUCUUCAUAAGAUUGCAUCAAGGCAUCAACGAUAUGUUCGGUAAAGGCUUUAUUUUGACUAUAAGCAUGAGGAGAAUUUAGCACGGAUUGCAACAAGGAAAUACAAUCAAUUAAAGACCAACUUUCAUAAUUAAAUUCCUUGAAAUCCAAUAUAGUGGGUUUAGCAACAUCUAGAUUUUUAUUUCUUUCAAUCCCACUUUUAUCAAUUUCAUCAUCAAGAUCUAAAUACUCCGAAUUUUUAGAACGCCUUCUAGGUAAAGGAAGAUCAUAUUCAGUUUCAUCAAGAUUCAUAUUGCAAAACAAAUAUUUAAUAGGGGACACAUCAAUAACUUUUAGAUCUUCAUCUUGAUUUUCAUAAGAAUUGGAAGAACACGCUUUAAUAAAGGCAUCUUUCGUAGCACGCAUCCUAGCGGUUCUUUCCUUGCACUCAUCAAUGGAAAUUCUCAUGGAUUUGAGAGACUCAUUGAUAUCAUGCUUAGGAGGAAUAGAUCUAAGCUUUAAAGAAUCAACCUCAAGAGAAAUUCUAUCAACGUUCCUAGCCAAAUCAUCAACUUUAAGCAAUUUCUCUUCAAGCAAAGCAUUAAAAUUCUUUUGUGAAUUCAAUAACACUAUUCUCAAAUUCAGAGGGCAUCUUAUUAAAAUUUCCAUAAGAGUUGUUGUAGGAAUUUCCAUAAUUAUUAGCAGGAUUACUAGGAUAAGGCCUAGGAUUAAAAUUUCCUCUAUACGCGUUGUUACCAAAAUUAUUCCUACCAACAAAAUUCACAUCCAUAGAUUCAUUAUUAUUCUCAAUAAAAGUAGACAAAUGCAUAUCAUUAGGAUCAGAAGAAACACUCUUAGUAGCAAAUAAUUUCAUAAGUUCAUCCAUCUUUCCACUCAAAACAUUGAUUUCUUCUAUCGCAUGCACUUUUUUAUUAGUAGAUCUUUCAGUAUGCCAUUCAGAAUAAUUAACCAUAAUAUUAUCUAGGAGUUCAGUAGCAUCUCUAAAGUGAUUUCCAUAAAAGUGCCUCCCGCGGCCGAAUCUAAAAGAUUUCUAGAAGCAAAAUUCAAUCUGGCAUAAAAUUUUUGUAUAAUCAUCCACAAAUUCAAACCAUGAGUAGGGCAAUUAUGUAUCAUUAAUUUCAUUCUCUCCCAAGCUUGUGCAACAUGUUCAUGAUCAAGUUGCUUAAAAUUCAUAAUAUCGUUUCUAAGAGAGAUGAUCUUAGCGGGAGGAAAAUACUUAGAGAUAAAAGCAUCUUUGCACUUGUUCCAAGAAUCAAUACUAUUUUUAGGCAAAGACGAAAACCAAGCUUUAGCACGAUCUCUAAGCAAAAAAGGAAAUAGCUUCAAUUUAACAAAAUCAUUAUCGACAUCUUUCUUCUUUUACAUAUCACAUAAAUCAACGAAGCUAUUCAGAUGGGUAGCGGCAUCUUCACUAGGAAGGUCGGCGAAUUGAUCUUUCAUAACAAGAUUCAACAAAUCAGUAUUGAUUUCACAAGAUUCAGUAUUGGCAAGCGGAGCAAUCGGAGUGCUAAGGAAAUCAUUAUUGUUGGUAUUGGUGAAGUCACACAAUUUGGUAGUAUCUUGAGCCAUCGCAACAAACAAGCAAACCAACACACGAGCAAACAAAAAGGCAAGCAAGAAAAAGGCGAACAGAAAGAGAGAAGGAGAUUGGGAAAGAGAGGGCAAAUAAAACGGCAAGGGUGAAGUGGGGGAGAGGAAAACGAGAAUGCAAAUGGCAACUAAUGUAAUGCGGGAGAUAGGGAUUGUGAUGGGUACUUGGUAUGUUGACUUUUGCGCAGACUCCCCGGCAACGGCGCGCAGAAAUUCUUCUUGCUACCUCUUGAGCACUGCGUUGGAUUUCCCCGAAGAGGAGAGGAUGAUGCAGCAAAGUAGCGUAAGUAUUUCCCUCAGUUUUUGAGAACCAAGGUAUCAAUCCAGUAGGAGGCUACGCUCAAGUCCCACGUACCUGCACAAAAUGAUAGCUCCUCGCAACCAAUGCGAUUAGGGGUUGUCAAUCCCUUCACGGUCACUUACGAGAGUGAGAUCUGAUAGAGAUAAUAUUUUUGGUAUUUUUGGUAUAGAGAUGCAAAGUGAAAAGUAAAAGGCAAAGUAAAAAAGCAAAGCAAGAUUAAAGUGAUGGAGAUUGAUAUGAUGAGAAUAGACCCGGGGGCCAUAGGUUUCACUAGUGGCUUCUCUCAAGAGCAUAAGUAUUCUACGGUGGGUGAACAAAUUAUUGUUGAGCAAUUGACAGAAUUGAGCAUAGUUAUGAGAAUAUCUAGGUAUGAUCAUGUAUAUAGGCAUCACAUCCGAGACAAGUAGACCGACUCCUGCCUGCAUCUACUACUAUUACUCCACUCAUCGACCUCUAUCCAGCAUGCAUCUAGAGUAUUAAGUUAAAAACAGAGUAACGCCUUAAGCAAGAUGACAUGAUGUAGAGGAAUAGUUUCAUGCAAUAUGAUAAAAAAACCAUCUUGUUAUCCUCGAUGGUAACAAUACAAUACGUGCCUUGCUGCCCCUUCUGUCACUGGGAAAGGACACCGCAAGAUUGAACCCAAAGCUAAGCACUUCUCCCAUGGCAAGAAAAACCAAUCUAGUAGGCCAAACCAAACUGAUAAUUCGAAAAGACUUGCAAAUAUAACCAAUCAUACAUAAAAGAAUUCAUAGAAGAUUCAAAUGUUAUUCAUAGAUAGACUUGAUCAUAAACCCACAAUUCAUCAGUCUCAACAAAUACACCGCAAAAAGAAGAUUACAUCGAAUAGAUCUCCACGAGAGAGGGGGGACAUUGUAUUGAGAUCCAAAAAGAGAGAAGAAGCCAACUAGCUAAUAACUAUGGACCCGAAGGUCUGAGGUGAACUACUCACACUUCAUUGGAGGGGCUAUGAUGAUGUAGAAGCCCUCCGUGAUGACGGCCCUCUCCGGCGGAGCUCCGGAACAGGCCCCAAGAUGGGAUCUCGUGGAUACAGAAAGUUGCGGCGGUGGAAUUAGGUUUUUGGCUCCGUAUCUGAUCGUUUGGGGGUACGUAGGUAUAUAUAGGAGGAAGGAGUACGUCGGUGGAGCACCGAGGGGCCCACGAGGCAGGGGGCGCGGCGCGCCCCCCACCCUCGUGACCGCCUCUUUGACUCCUUGGAGUAGGGUCCAAGCCUCCUGGAUCACGUUUGGUGAGAAAAUCACGUUCCCGAAGGUUUUAUUUCGUUUGGACUCCGUUUGAUAUUCUGUUUCUCCAAACUCUAAAAUAGGCAAAAAACAACAAUUCUGGGCUGGGCCUCCGGUUAAUAGGUUAGUCCCAAAAAUAAUAUAAAAGUGGAAAAUAAAGCCCAAUAUAGUCCAAACAGUAGAUAAUAUAGCAUGGAGCAAUCAAAAAUUAUAGAUGCGUUGGAGACGUAUUAGGAAUCAAUGCCAAGGCUAUCGCCAGUCAGCCUUCCAUUGAUCCCUCAUGGGCGGCGCAGUGCGGCGACGUGCCCCCUCCCGCCACGCGUACACACGUUGUCCCCCCCCNNNNNNNNNNNNNNNNNNNNNNNNNNNNNNNNNNNNNNNNNNNNNNNNNNNNNNNNNNNNNNNNNNNNNNNNNNNNNNNNNNNNNNNNNNNNNNNNNNNNNNNNNNNNNNNNNNNNNNNNNNNNNNNNNNNNNNNNNNNNNNNNNNNNNNNNNNNNNNNNNNNNNNNNNNNNNNNNNNNNNNNNNNNNNNNNNNNNNNNNNNNNNNNNNNNNNNNNNGCCGCCGACGCCCUUCCCUCUCUCCCCGUCUAGCCAUCGCGUGCACGCUCAGCUGAUGGGUGAACGGUUCUCCGGCGACGCGGCGGCGGCCAGCAGCUUUGGCCGCCACUCUCUGCAUGAACGAGAAGCCCACCUCCUCCACGAGGCGAACUACCCGGCGCCCCCCGACAUGCGUGCGUCGGGGCGGUGGAAGCUCAGCGCCGAGGGCGUCCCGGUCCCCCCGUUGCCCGACGUCGAACACCCCGGCUACUUUCACGCCGAGAUUGAGCGUGUGCGGGUCUCUCUGUCGGGGAAGGAGCGGGCCCUCUACAACGUCGGCAACCACGAUGCGUGGGGGGCGUACUUUGAACGCCGGCAGGCGGAGCGGCUUGUCACCAUCAACAACGCACUGGUGGUAAGGGGGCGCAACAACAGCGACGGUCGCCGCCUGUGGUGGGGCGCCCCGGCCGCACGCUCCAUGCCAUCCUCGAGUACCUCUAGGGAGGCAACGAUCCGUCGCUCGAGUAACUGGCGGCCCCGGCCCCCCACCGGAACGGCGACCAUGGCUGCCGAGGCGAAUGCUGGGCGGGUCCUCCUCCUACUACUCCCGAUCCUCCUCCCACUCCUUCGGGCCACUGGCGCUCGUCAGCGUCAAGGCUGAGCCCGUGGAAACGCUUCUCGUCCGGCGCACCCGCGGUGCCGCCCUCGUCAUCAACGAGGGCGGCCGCGCCUCCUCAGCUCCUACAUCCCGCCUCGUCAAGCCAAAGAUGGAGCUGGGGCUCGCCCCCGUGAAGAUCGAGCACGCUGGCAUGACCGCACUCGAAGACGAGGCCGCCAUGAAGUGGGUGCGGGAGGACUAGGUGCGGCUGGAGAUGGAGCGCCAGCGCCGCGCCCUAGAGGAGAUCGCCGCAUGGCGCUGUGGCCGCAACGAGGGAGGCGUCGUCGUCCUCGAGGACAGCGACGACGAGGCGCCGCCGCCGGCCAAACUAGUCCGCUAGAGCAACCCCGGGCAGGGGUCCAGCAGGGACGGACGUGUGAAGAAGGAGAAGGAGGACGGCGGCAACGGCGACUACGCCGCCUUCAGCAAGUUCUUCGACCUGUAGGCGCGGCAGCAGGCCGUUGUUUUCUUUUUUCAUUAGAUUUUAUGUUUUCUAUAUGUAAAAAACCGUGGAACGCCUAAAUAUCGCCGAAUCUAUGUCGUGUUUGCCGAAUUUUGGCCGAAUGUCUUUUUAAAAGUAUUUACAAAAAGUGCGUCUGAGGGCGGCGGUUGGGAACCCGAUCGCCCCCACGCCGAGAACAUCGCCGGUUCGCCCCCAAGCGGCGCUUUUUUCUAGCCCCUGGGAGGGCGAGCGGCUGGAGAUGCUCUAAGUAGUAUCAUGCAUGUCAAACUACUCCAUCCGUACACGAAUAAGUGUACAUUUCGCUUUUUUUCUAAGUCAAAGUUUUAAAAUUUUGAUCAAUUUUAUAGGUAAAAAAUAGCAACAUUUAUGACACUAGAUUAGUAUCAGUGGAUCCGUUUUGAAAUAUACUUUCAUAAUAUACCAAUUUGAUGUCAUAUAUGUUACUACUCUUUUCUAUAUAGUUCCUCAAAAUUUUAAAACUUUGACUCGGGACAAAAGGUGAUGUACACUUAUUCGUGGAUGGAGGGUAUCAUAUGCAUGAUACCAAUAUAUGAUACUCUCCAUUGUCAGCAGCCUAACAGUCCCUGGCAUCGGAGAGAGCGGCGACGACAGGGUUCGUCCAUUCGUCGAAACUGAUGUGGAGAAGAAAGCAAACGAGAGGGUGAGCGUGAGCCAAAGGGCCAUGAGAGAGAGGGCGAGAGAGAGGGAGGAAGCAAGGGGGGAGAGGAUUAAAGGUUAGAGGUCGGUGUACUCGUACAUCCAUUCGUAGCGGUGGUCGAGAGGAGGCGGCGCUGGAGGUGAGGACACAGCGGAUUUUACUCCGCGUAUUAAAUUUAUCAAACUAAACUUUGUAAAAUUUGGCAUUGUGAAUGUUGGUUUUUUUUAUACAUUUGGUCAAAGUAGAGGUACUUUGAUUUCAGACAAAACUUAACUAUAGCGGUGGAUUGGUACUGUCCCCUUUUAGGGUAACAAAAGAAAAUAUUCUCGCAAGUGGUCGUGCUGGAGUGUUUAUCGGGCAUGACUAGAAAUCAUGUGGGCUUUGCCCGCGCAGGUUCGAAUCCUGCCGACCACGGUUUUGAUUUUUGUCAAAUGUUUGGUCAAAUUAUUAUUAGUUAAUAGUGUUAUUCCACACAAAAAGAUUAUAACUCAUAUUUUUUUCACUCGUCUAUUUCAAUAUCUGACUUAGCGUGGGGUGUCACUUGGUGUUGUGUGGGUGACGAGAUUGGCAUUUCAGUCAAAGAGAUUAGCAGGAGUGCUUGCUUCUUCACCUUUGUGGGAGAAUCUACUUAAUUUAUGUUUACAUUUUACUCCAUGGAUCAUUUUAGUUAAGAUCGUUAUUCCACGAAUUUUUUUUCUAAAAAUCACAUUUUUUUCCCGCCUAUUUCAAUAUUUGACUUAGCUUGGGGUGUUGACUUACAAACUUGGAGGCCAAACCGAACUAACAAACAUUAGGAAAUAACCAACUUGGGAAUCAAGAAAUAUCUCUAAAAGAUCUAAACUGCUAAGGGUAAAUAGGGGAUACAUAUCCCUUUAAGUUUAGGCGGGGCCCUUUCUAGCCCCACAUAACAAUGCUUGCAGCAGAAUCAUUGUCCAUCAGGCACUAGUUUACCGUCAGGCGUGGUCCGCUCCGCUUCUACGAAAUGAAUUUCCAGGCAAGCUGCAUCACAUUGUCAUCAAUGUACGGCCGCAAGUCCCACAUUAGACAAUAGCCAUCUAGCUCCGACGAUGGUGUUUUAAGGCACAGUGCCUUGACUAUCUUCUCCUGCAGGAUAGCAAACUUCUGUCACAAAAUAGCAACCAAAAGUAAACAGAGAGUAGUGGCAUGUAGAUGCUUCUAUGCGAACCUGCAUCGAAUAAUCCAACUUUAACAUAUUGUGAACCAGAAUCAUAACGCUCGAGUAAGAUACUGCGCUGUCCAGCGGAUCCACAGACUGCCCUUCAUCCUGGUAAAAUAUGGUGCCAACAUUUUUGGGUGAGGCUUAGUCAAUGUUCCUACAGGCCAUAGUAUUUUAACGAACUAAAAAACUCGAGGCUGAAGUAAUAAAGCAUGGGACGAAGAGACUGCAAAUAGAAUUCACACCUCACAAGAAUCUGCUGGCAGGUUAUCAUCAUCAUCAAAGCAAUCUGAAGCUUCUAAGAUACUAAGGCUGGCUGUUAGCGUAGUGCUAUAAACAUCCUCGGCCAGGCAUUCAAGUUCUUCAAUCAAAACUUUAGCUGGGCAAAAUAAAGUGGAAAACACAAAAAUAUUAGACAGCACGGGCCAGUUAGUAAGGCAUGAGCAGAUGAAUGAUGAAUUUAAGUUUGAUAUCCACGAAAAGAGAACGUGAAGGUUCAUUGUUGUGCACACUAAAAUGAGGACGUGACAGUGAAAGAAAAUGCUUCUACUGGUAAGUACCGUGUGUCUUUCAGAAAGAGGAAAAGGGAGAAGGAACGAGGAAAUGCAAAAGUUCGAACAAAGACGAGUGUGCAUGCCUCUGAAUAAAUUCGACCGUCGCAGCUGUUUUACUGCAGUUAAGUAACAACACCUUUUCUGAGACCAUAGAAUAAGUUAUGCAGUAAUGAUGUGACACCGGCACACUCCAACAGAGAGAUGUAGCUACCUUUAUUUAUAUGGUCCUCAAGUUUUUCCUCGCAAGAUUGUACUGCAAAAAUUUACUCUAUUAUCAGACAAAAAUAGUUAUAAAGGUCUGACUAAAUGUAAAUAUGUUUAUUACAAAUGGGAGAUACUAGUUUCAGCCAAAUAGACAUGUCCAAAGAUAAGAAUCAUGCAUAAUAUACUAGGGUCCUAUAUCAACAUCCUAGUGUUACAAAGAGUUACUAGAAUUUAUAAUAUCUUUUGGUACCAUGAGUUCUGGCUGAUUUCCAACAGAGCCGGUAUUUUCCCUAACAAUCAGAAUCUAUCCACUGUCACUGAGCUCAAACUCUAUAAUUAACACUCCAAUAUAAUCAGAUCUUCUAUCAAUAACCUUACAAUUAAACUAAUAGGUCAAAACCUGAAUAUAGAUAUUGCAGUUGUGCCCUGCUGCCACAGUAACCACCAUGCACAAUACUUCAGCAUCGUGGGUUUCACAAGAGGGCCUACCCAUUUGUUCCCGCGAGCACACUAAAAAAGCUGAAGCAUUGUAGUAUUCUGCAUGGCAUUUUCUGUACUGUGAGUUACAUACGCACAGCAGUGUAACUUCAUCUAAUCACCUAGAUAUAAAGACCACCAGGAAGAAAUCCAAAUGGAAAAACAUAUCUGCUAGAUUAAUAAUUAAACAGCAGCUCUCCACUACAGAAUUAUAGAUACACGAUACACUCAGGCACAGGAAAUGUGACUUUUAACUUACACUGGUUAAUAUUCCGGAUACUUUGGUGCUGAAGGUGGCAGCCUGCUUCAAGAUAGGACCUCAGUCGAUCAGUGUAGUUAGAUUUGACUAACUGACUGACAGCAUCCGAUUCCAUGGGAAUCAUUGGUCUUCGAAAAUGCUCUGACAUAAGUGAGUCAUGGAAUUUGAACAUAAGUGCAAAAAAUAAUAGGGGACUGUGCAGUAUCUGUCAACACAAUAAUGUUCAGAAAUCCAAGCAAGAUUUUUAUGCAUUCAUAAACUUAACUGGCAAAUGACGCUUCAUUCACCAAAGCUUAGAGCAGAAAUUUACUUCAUGAAAAAAAUUACAGCUUCAAGAAAUUACCAAAUAAAACUGUUGAAAUACGAAAUCAAUUUAUCACUUUGUUCAGUAUUACAGUACAAGAAAUGCUAGUAGAAAAUGUUGACAUCUGUGAGAGCAAAUGAUGAAGGUUUCUACUUUAGCAGUUUGGCACCAUGGCUGGAGCACACUUUAGGACCCUGGCUGCUUACAUAUCUUCUAAGUUCCUAACUAUCAAUAGGUCUGACAUGUCAGCAAAUGGGGGAAUCACUAGACCUAUUAACAGUACAAAUAGGGAUUCUAGGAAAGGGACUUCCAUAAAAAUUUGGUCAGACAAUACAAUACAGAGCAAAGGAACCAACACUGGGAUAUUCAAGGAGAAGAAUGAACCAACCUAAUUCCUGACGGAACUUUACAAGAAACAUUUUUCCGGCAUCAACUAGCUCCUCAUAUUGCGUAACCCUGUCGACGAUAACAACACGCAUAUAUAUAUGAUUAGUACAAAAAAUUCACAACCACAGGAAAAAUAUAUAAAUAAAAUCACAACAGAAGUGUAUAUGCAAAGCAAGGGAACACAUGCUGGUUAUAUCCUACAAAAUCAGCUGGGCAUAUAUCACCAAAAAAUGUUCUCCAAAACACACAAAACAAGGGAGUAAUAUAUCGUUCCUUCCAAAUUCAAGUCAAGUGACAAACUGAAACUAAUGGCAUAAAGUCAUAAAAUAAAGUUCACACACAAUUCAAAGGGAAAUACUAGACACGACUCCUUGAGAUGGCUGAUGCUUGUUAGCACAUUGUUGGUCCAAAAACAAGUGGAUUGUUCUACUAGCAAUUGUAAAUGAAGUUACAACACAGUUAUAGAUUGAUAAGUUUUCAGUUAUGAAAUAGCAUCAUUUUCGAAGAUUAGAUAAUAAUUAUUUUGAUACACAUGUACUGCGACAUUUGGUGAAAAUCUAUAUACAUGUACUGUGACAUUUUAACUGAGUUACCCGAUGUCAGUACUAAAUGUUGAAAACUUUCUGUCGAUAUCUGGUUCUCUACUCCUACCAAUUGUGUCGUCGAACCAUGUUAAUUCACAAUGGGCUUUUGUUUCCAACUAUAGCUCCGCCAAUUCACUAUGUCCACUUCAAAUGGUGAAUCAAUCAAGUGUAUGGUAUUAAAAAGAUUGAGGCCAUUAAUUACUUGGUCAUGAAAUCAAAGAAGCAGCGCCGAGCUUCCUCCUCGGACAUUGGCGCCAACAACGGGGACACCUGAUGUACUGCUGCUUCAUCCACCAUAAGGUCCAGCUAAACCGGUAAAAGAUCUGACUGAAAGAAAAAGGAAAAAGAAAUAGAAGUCAGGUUGGAGGAAUUUGAUGAUCUAUAACAAAGUUGGUGGAUCUUUGAUCAUAUAUAUCCAAAGUUAGUCAGUCUUUGAUGAAAUAUUCAAAGUUAAUUGUUUGAUUUGAUGAUAUAUGUUGAAGACGUCUUUACAAAUACAAAACAACAAAUACAAAACAAAUAAACUAUACAAAAAUAUACUAAUAUGCCCUUGUUGGACCGCUACUCUCCAGCACAUUGUUUGGGUGCGCUGCGAGGAACUCCUCGGCGGAUAUGGUGUGGGCAUACUCGUCGUCCUGGCGACGAAGCGCACAUCCCUAUACACAACAAACACAGAUCUUCAAGAGCACGGACAAGUCAGCUUCAUCGGAGCCAGGAUUGCAGCGAACCCCGGGCCAAAAACUAAGCGCUUAUGACCAACGGCGGAUCUAGGGUUUGAAAACAGGGUGAUCCACCUUAAAAAAAUUGACACCAAAAUUAUAUACAUGUGUAUGUGUUCAUCAGGUCAUGUAUUGUACUCGACAUUACUCCCUCUGUACUGAAAUGCUCAACUACAAGUAUUUCGGUACAGAGGUACUCCCUUCGUCUCAUAAUAUAAGAACGUUUUUGACACUAGUGUAGUGCCAAAAACGUUCUUAUAUUAUGGGACAGAGGGAGUAGUAGUUAGCAACUUGCUCUUGAUUAUUUUUGCUAGCUAGCUGGGAUCAUCAUUCGUGCUCUGGAUAGCAAUUACGUAGCAAACAAUUAGCAACCUGGUCCACCUCAAUCUCACCUUCGGCUCUGGACAAACCGCAAAUCGACUCUGCAAAAAAGUGGUUGCAGGCUGCUGCUCAGCUCCCAGCUGCUAGCUUGUUAUGUUGCACGUCUCCAGGCCCCAGGUCCCAGGGUGCACGCCUACACACCGCCGGCCGCCCGGCAGACUGAUGUGGCUGGGCGCGGUGGGCGGCUCCAGCGCGGCAGCAGCAGCAGGGCGCAGGCGCGCAGCCACUUGCAGGCAAGGCGGCUUGAGUUGGAGGGCGGGGAAGGGUGCAACGUGCCGGCUACGGCGGGGCGUCCGGGUCCGCCGGGGGGCGGCUGGUGCGGGAGAGAGGACAGAGCGAGCAGGCGUUGGGGCAGAGGAGUCGGUCCUGCUGGCCUGUUGUGCUGCGGGUCGGGACGACUGGGCCGUUUGCUCGUUUUUUUUCCUUGGACAUUGGCGCCAAUGUCCAAGGAGGAAGCUCGGCGUUGCUUCUUUGAUUUCAUGACCAAGUAAUUAAUGGCCUCAAUCUUUUUAAUACCAUACACUUGAUUGAUUCACCAUUUGAAGUGGACAUAGUGAAUUGGCGGAGCUAUAGUUGGAAACAAAAGCCCAUUGUGAAUUAACAUGGUUCGACGACACAAUUGGUAGGAGUAGAGAACCAGAUAUCGACAGAAAGUUUUCAACAUUUAGUACUGACAUCGGGUAACUCAGUUAAAAUGUCACAGUACAUGUAUAUAGAUUUUCACCAAAUGUCGCAGUACAUGUGUAUCAAAAUAAUUAUUAUCUAAUCUUCGAAAAUGAUGCUAUUUCAUAACUGAAAACUUGUCAAUCUAUAACUGUGUUGUAACUUCAUUUACAAUUGCUAGUAGAACAAUCCACUUGUUUUUGGAACAACAAUGUGCUAACAAGCAUCAGCCAUCUCAAGGAGUCGUGUCUAGUAUUUCCCUUUGAAUUGUGUGUGAACUUUAUUUUAUGACUUUAUGCCAUUAGUUUCAGUUUGUCACUUGACUUGAAUUUGGAAGGAACGAUAUAUUACUCCCUUGUUUUGUGUGUUUUGGAGAACAUUUUUUGGUGAUAUAUGUCCAGCUGAUUUUGUAGGAUAUAACUAGCAUGUGUUCCCUUGCUCUGCAUAUACACUUCUGUUGUGAUUUUAUUUAUAUAUUUUUCCUGUGGUUGUGAAUUUUUUGUACUAAUCAUAUAUAUAUGCGUGUUGUUAUCGUCGACAGGGUUACGCAAUAUGAGGAGCUAGUUGAUGCCGGAAAAAUGUUUCUUGUAAAGUUCCGUCAGGAAUUAGGUUGGUUCAUUCUUCUCCUUGAAUAUCUCAGUGUUGGUUCCUUUGCUCUGUAUUGUAUUGUCUGACCAAAUUUUUAUGGAAGUCCCUUUCCUAGAAUCCCUAUUUGUACAGUUAAUAGGUCUAGUGAUUCCCCCAUUUGCUGACAUGUCAGACCUAUUGAUAGUUAGGAACUUAGAAGAUAUGUAAGCAGCCAGGGUCCUAAAGUGUGCUCUAGCAAUUGUUUGGACAUUGAGAUACUAAUUACAACAAGUAUUUGAGCUUAAAGAAAAAAAUUACAGCAAGCAUUUUUGAACAUAAUGAAAGACCGAACAAAACAAGAAUUUCAGCAAGUAUCUCUGUCCCUCUACAAUGCAUGACUACAAAUGACACCAACAUGUGAACAGAUGGAUAACUACUUAGAACCAAAACCAACAUUCUUUUUCCACUGUUAAACAAGAAUUCAAUAGCACACCGUAUGUGUACAAAUGGACAACUACUUAGAGCCAAAGCUAACAUUCUUUUUCCGCUGUUAAACAUUUUACUAAAGAACAGAAUAGGAUUUAGGGGAGAAAUAACCUCAGAUUGUAGUUGUGCUUGUGCUGCUAGAUGUAGUGACGGUGGCCUUCAACUCUCCUGCACCAGAAAAUUAAAUCAAUCAAUGAACUACACAUGAGCAGAGACCACGCAUCUACCAGCCCCUGCACGCCGGAAUAUUUCAGAAAAAGAAACAGGAGAUUAGACAGUGGGGUGUAUGUGUUACCUCAAUUGAAGGAGUUGUGCUGCCAGAUGUGCUCACGGUGACCUUGAAAUAUCCUGCGACACUAGAUAAUAUACAAUCAGUUCCCACCAAAAAACAGAUAAUAUAGAUCAGUCUUGUACACACACACAUGAGCAGACUCUAGCACACACACUCAUGAACAUUAUGCAUCAGUCUGCAACAGUAAACUUCAGAACACACACACGCCAAUGCAGCCGAGCGGAUUCAGCCGUGCACAUGCAGCCGAGCGCGGCACCGGAUGCACUUGCGCUCGCCGUGGAGAAGCUCCCGUGUGCACUUGCGCCGCUCGUCGGGGAGUCCUUCUCCACCUCCGCCUGCAGGCCCUGGUGGCGAGCUCCUCCCAUGGCCAGGUUCCCCACGGUGGGCAUGGGUGGCCUCCUGGUGCCGCUCGCGCCUCCUCAAGCCCCCAGCCGUCGCGCCGCCGCCUCAAAUCUAGCCAACGUCGCCCCCAUGCACACCCUCCGCAACGACCAACCGGCACACACGAUUGAUGGAGGUGGGAAGAUAGAAAGAAAGGAGGAGAGAGGGAAAGAGUGGAGGAUUCACCUCUCGCCGGCCUCUCUGCUAGAUGCGGCGCCGCCGCUGUUGCCGCCGCUCACGGAAGAGAGAUGAGUAAUGGGGUAAGUGAGGGUUUCGCGGAGGGGUGAGCGGGGGUCAAUACGCGAAAAUAUUGUUUCGCGCCUGGACGAAGCGACGCGCGCGCGGGGUGGCUGCCGCGACCCGCUCGUUUUUCGCGGGUGACCCCAGCCCCGUUUUUGGCGAAUAUUCGAGGCAUCUGGUUGCCCCUAUCCUCCCUCGCCUCGGAUCCAAACAUGUGGCAUCCCUGGAUAAAAGGGCUAUCCAUGUCCCUUAGAGGAUAUCCCUGCAACCAAACACAUCCUUGAUCGAACACCUGCUGGACUUGGUGCCCGCCAUCAACGGCGUCGAGAAGGAGCCGGAGGGUACCUAGCUACGGAUGGAUCAAGGGUGGAUGACGUUGUAGUACAAGGCGAGUGGGCGCAUAGGUGGGGGCUGCGGACGUCUGGCAAUGCCUGGCGGUGGCCGAAGAGGUACAGUGACAACGUUGGACGAGGAGGGUGUCUAUGUAAAGCAAGAGGGAGCAGGGGCGGAGUGGAAGAUAAUGUUACCAUGAAGGGGUUAUCCACUACUAGGAAAAUGCUUAUACACAGUAGCAUAGUAGUAGCGCUGUAAAAUAGUAAGUGUUGCUACUACUUAACAGUAGCGCUCGGGGACUACAAGCACUGCUAAUAUGAGCAUAGCAGUAGCGCUGGACCUAGAAACGCGCUACUACUAAAACUGACAGACCGUUCCAGGCAUUAGGGAUACUAGUAGCGCUCAUUGGUAGAAAGCGCUACUACUAUUGAUAUUAGCAACAACGCUUUUCCCUUACCAACGCUAAUGAUAUAUUCAGUCCCUCCUAAUAAGACCAAAGUUUAGUCCCACCUCGCUCCGAGAACAAAAAAUUUACCACCUUAAAUAUGGUGCUUCUCAAACUAUCACAACCACUUGGUCUUCAUUGAACUCUAUGUGUAGGAUCUGUGGCCGCAACAGGAAUCUUUACCGAUUCUUAAACCGGAGAAGAUUCCUAUUGACAAUUUAGAUUCUACACAAAAAGAUCAUUGAUGACCAAUGUAUUUUUGAAAUUUUUUACAUGCUUAGCGUUAGCAGUAGUGCGUUUUUACAGAGAGCGCUACUGCUAUUGGUUUUAGCAGUAGCGCUUUUCCUUAGAAAGCGCUACUGCUAUAGACUUUAGCAGUAGCGCUUUUUACGGACAAGCGCUACCACUAAGGGCCCUUAUCCAAACCGGCCGGCCCGCGCGCGUCACUCUCCCCCUCACACUCUCUCAUCGCCUCGGUCGCCACCGUCGCCGGCCUCCUCCACCCCAAGGUCGAUCCGUCCCUCCUCCUCCUCCCCUCCUCCUCCCUCUCCGGUGCUCGCGGCCCCCUCCUCCUCCUCCCUCUCCGCCGGCGGUCCCCUCCUCCUNNNNNNNNNNNNNNNNNNNNNNNNNNNNNNNNNNNNNNNNNNNNNNNNNNNNNNNNNNNNNNNNNNNNNNNNNNNNNNNNNNNNNNNNNNNNNNNNNNNNNNNNNNNNNNNNNNNNNNNNNNNNNNNNNNNNNNNNNNNNNNNNNNNNNNNNNNNNNNNNNNNNNNNNNNNNNNNNNNNNNNNNNNNNNNNNNNNNNNNNNNNNNNNNNNNNNNNNNNNNNNNNNNNNNNNNNNNNNNNNNNNNNNNNNNNNNNNNNNNNNNNNNNNNNNNNNNNNNNNNNNNNNNNNNNNNNNNNNNNNNNNNNNNNNNNNNNNNNNNNNNNNNNNNNNNNNNNNNNNNNNNNNNNNNNNNNNNNNNNNNNNNNNNNNNNNNNNNNNNNNNNNNNNNNNNNNNNCCCUUCUCCUCCCUCCUCCUCCUCCUUCCUCCUCUUCCUGGCCUCCUGCCACCUCCUCCUCCCCCCUUUCUGUAAACAGGUUUUAGUUUUUGUUAAAUGUAGGUUUUUGUUUUUAGUAAAUGUAGGUUUUUAGUAUAUUUUGUUUUUAGAAAAUUUGAAUAAGUAAUUUGAGAAGAAUAAGUAAAUGUAGAUCUUUUGAAUAGAAUAGGAAAUUUUUAGAAAUUUUGAAUAAGUAAAUUUGAAUAGAAUAAAAUAUGAAAUUGAAAAAUAAGUAAAUGUAGGUCUUUUGAAUAGAAUAGGAAUUUUUUAUAAAAUUUGAAUAAGUAAAUUUGAAUAGAAUAGGAAAUUAUAAGUAAAUUUGAAUAGAAUAUUAGUAGCUUAUGGAGUUUCACUAAGUACUAAGAUGAUGAUAAUAAUGUUUUUGUUUAUAUUUUGUUUUUGCAGAAAUCAAGGAGCCCCUGCAUCAUCCCCGCCGUCGUCCGUCGUCGCCGACCCCCUCCGACCUCGAUCGAGGUGAGACCAGCCACCCCAUGUUGUUAAUUUAAUUGUUGGAAAUAUGCCCUAGAGGCAAGAAUAAAAGAGUUAUUAUUAUAUUUCCUUGUUCAUGAUAAUUGUCUUUAUUCAUGCUAUAAUUGUAUUACGCGGAAAUCGUAAUACACGUGUGAAUACAUAGACCAUAAUAUGUCCCUAGUAAGCCUCUAGUUGACUAGCUCGUUGAUCAACAGAUAGUCAUGGUUUCCUGACUAUUGACAUUAGAUGUCGUUGAUAACGGGAUCACAUCAUUAGGAGAAUGAUGUGAUGGACAAGACCCAAUCCUAAGCAUAGCACAAGAUCGUGUAGUUCGUUUUGCUAGAGCUUUUCCAAUGUCAAGUAUCUUUUCCUUAGACCAUGAGAUCGUGUAACUCCCGGAUACCGUAGGAGUGCUUUGGGUGUACCAAACGUCACAACGUAGCUGGUGACUAUAAAGGUGCACUACAGGUAUCUCCGAAAGUGUCUGUUGGGUUGACACGGAUCUAGACUGGGAUUUGUCACUCCAUAUGACGGAGAGGUAUCUCUGGGCCCACUCGGUAAUGCAUCAUCAUAAUGAGCUCAAAGUGACCAAGUGUCUGGUCACGGGAUCAUGCAUUACGGUACAAGUAAAGUGACUUGCCGGUAACGAGACUGAACGAGGUAUUGGGAUACCGACGAUCGAGUCUCGGGCAAGUAACAUACCGUUUGACAAAGGGAAUUGUAUAUGGGGUUGAUUGAAUCCUCGACAUCGUGGUUCAUCCGAUGAGAUCAUCGAGGAGCAUGUGGGAGCCAACAUGGGCAUCCAGAUCCCGCUGUUGGUUAUUGACCGGAGAGCCGUCUCGGUCAUGUCUGCGUGUCUCCCGAACCCGUAGGGUCUACACACUUAAGGUUCGGUGACGCUAGGGUUGUAUGAAUAUAAGUAUGCAGCAAACCAAAAGUUGUUUGGAGUCCCGGAUGAGAUCCGGACGUCACGAGGAGUUCCGGAAUAAUUCGGAGGUAAAGAAUUAUAUAUAGGAAGUGCAGUUUCGGCCACCGGGAAAGUUUCGGGGGUCACCGGUAUUGUAUCGGGACCACCGGAAGGGUCCCGGGGUCCACCGGAUGGGGCCACCUAUCUCGGAGGGCCCCGUGGGCUGAAGUGGGAGGGGAACCAGCCACUGGUGGGCUGGUGCGCCCCCCCCCCCCUGGGCCCCCCUCUGCGCCUAGGGUUGGGAACCCUAGGGGAGGGGGCGCCUCCACUUGCCUUGGGGGGCAUUCCACCCCCUUUGCCCCCCCCCUAGAGAUCCCAUCUCUAGGGCCGGCGCCUCCCCCCCCCUAGGGGCCUAUAUAAAGGAGGGGGGAGGGAGGGCAGCCGCACCUGAAGUUUUGGCGCCUCCCUCUCCCCUUGCUACACCUCCUCCUCCCGUAGUUGCUUGGCGAAGCCCUGCCGGAACUCUGCUGCAUCCACCACCACGCCGUCGUGCUGCUGGAUCUUCAUCAACCUCUCCUUUUCCCUUGCUGGAUCAAGAAGGAGGAGACGUCAUCCGCUCCGUACGUGUGUUGAACGCGGAGGUGCUGUCCGUUCGGCACUUGGUCAUCGGUGAUUUGGAUCACGACGAGUACGACUCCCUCAACCCCGUUCUCUUGAACGCUUCCGAUCGCGAUCUACAAAGGUAUGUAGAUGCACUCCUAUCACUCGUUGCUUAGAUGAACUCAUAGAUGGAUCUUGGUGAAACCGUAGGAAAAUUUUUAUUUUCUGCAACGUUCCCCAACAGUGGCAUCAUGAGCUAGGUCUAUGCGUAGUUCUCUAUUGCACGAGUAGAACACAAAUCUGUUGUGGGCGUAGAUCUUGUCAACUUGCUUGCCGCUACUAGUCUUAUUUUGCUUCAGUGGUAUUGUGGGAUGAAGCGGCCCGGACCGACCUUACACGUACGCUUACGUGAGACAGGUUCCACCGACUGACAUGCACUAGUUGCAUAAGGUGGCUAGCGGGUGUCUGUCUCUCCCACUUUAGUUGGAGUGGAUUCGAUGAAAAGGGUCCUUAUGAAGGGUAAAUAGAAGUUAACAAAAUCACGUUGUGGUUAUUCGUAGGUAAGAAAACGUUCUUGCUAGAACCCAAUUGCAGCCACGUAAAAGAUGCAACAAUAAUUAGAGGACAUCUAACUUGUUUUUGCAGCAAUUGUCUUGUGAUAUGAUAUGGCCAAAAGUUGUGAUGAAUGAUGAAUGAUAUAUUGUGAUGUAUGAGAUCAUGUUCUUGUAAUAGGAAUCACGACUUGCAUGUCGAUGAGUAUGACAACCGGCAGGAGCCAUAGGAGUUGUCUUUAUUUUUUGUAUGACAUGCGUGUCAUUGAAGAACGCCAUGUAAAUUAUUUUACUUUAUUGCUAAACGCGUUAGCCAUAGAAGUAGAAGUAGUCGUUGGCGUGACAACUUCAUGAAGACACGAUGAUAGAGAUCAUGAUGAUGGAGAUCAUGGUGUCAUGCCGGUGACGAAGAUGAUCAUGGAGCCCCGAAGAUGGAGAUCAAAUGAGCUAUAUGAUAUUGGCCAUAUCAUGUCACUAUUAUAUAAUUACAUGUGAUGUUUAUUAUGUUUAUGCAUCUUGUUUACUUAGAACAACGGUAGUAAAUAAGAUGAUCCCUUAUAACAAUUUCAAGAAAGUGUUCUCCCCUAACUGUGUGCUGUUGCUAAAGUUCGUCGUUUUGAAGCACCAUGUGAUGAUCGGGUGUGAUAGAUUCUUACGUUCACAUACAACGGGUGUAAGACAGUUUUACACAUGCAAAACACAUAGGGUUAACUUGACGAGCCUACCAUGUACAGACAUGGCCUCGGAACACAGAGACCGAAAGGUCGAACAUGAGUCGUAUGGAAGAUACGAUCAACAUGGAGAUGUUCACCGAUGAUGACUAGUCCGUCUCACGUGAUGAUCGAACACGGCCUAGUCGACUCGGAUCGUGUAACACUUAGAUGACUAGAGGGAUGUCUAAUCUAAGUGGGAGUUCAUUAAAUAAUUUGAUUAGAUGAACUUAAUUAUCAUGAACUUAGUCUAAAACUUUUGCAAAUAUGUCUUGUAGAUCAAAUGGCCAACGCUCAUGUCAACAUGAACUUCAACGCGUUCCUAGAGAAAACUAAGCUGAAAGAUGAUGGCAGCAACUAUACGGACUGGGUCCGGAACCUAAGGAUCAUCCUCAUAGCUGCCAAGAAAGCAUAUGUCCUAGAAGGACCGCUAGGUGAAGCACCCAUCCCAGAGAACUAAGACGUUAUGAACGCUUGGCAGUCAUGUGCUGAUGAUUACUCCCUCGUUCAGUGCGGCAUGCUUUACAGCUUAGAACCGGGGCUCCAAAAGUGCUUUGAGCAACACGGAGCAUAUGAGAUGUUCGAGGAGCUGAAAAUGGUUUUCCAAGCUCAUGCCCGGGUCGAGAGAUAUGAAGUCUCUGACAAGUUCUACAGUUGUAAGAUGGAGGAAAAUAGUUCUGUCAGUGAGCACAUACUCAAAAUGUCUGGGUUGCACAACCGCCUGUCCCAGCUGGACAUUAACCUCCCGGACAAGGCGGUCAUUGACAGAAUCCUUCAGUCGCUCCCACCAAGCUACAAGAGCUUUGUGAUGAACUACAAUAUGCAGGGGAUGGUGAAAACCAUUCCUGAAGUAUUUUCAAUGCUGAAGUCGGCAGAGGUAGAAAUCAAGAAAGAACAUCAAGUGUUGAUGGUCAAUAAAACCACCAAGUUCAAGAAGGGCAAGGGUAAGAAGAACUUCAAGAAGGACGGCAAGGAUGUUGCCGCGUCCGGUAAGCCAGUUGCCGGGAAGAAGUCAAAGAAUGGACCCAAGCCUGAGACUGAGUGCUUUUAUUGCAAAGGGAAGGGUCACUGGAAGCGGAACUGCCCCAAAUACUUAGCGGACAAGAAGGCCGGCAACACUAAAGGUAUAUUUGAUAUACAUGUAAUUGAUGUGUACCUUACCAGUAAUCGUAGUAACUCCUGGGUAUUUGAUAUCGGUGCCGUUGCUCAUAUUUGUAACUCACAGCAGGAGUUGCGGCAUAAGCGGAGACCGGCGAAGGACGAGGUGACGAUGCGCGUCGGGGAUGGUUCCAAGGUCGAUGUGAUCGCCAUUGGCACACUACCUCUACAUUUACCUACGGGAUUAGUUUUAAACCUCAAUAAUUGUUAUUUAGUGCCAAGUUUGAGCAUGAACAUUGUAUCUGGAUCUCGUUUGAUACGAGAUGGCUACUCAUUUAAAUCCGAGAAUAAUGGUUGUUCUAUUUAUAUGAGAGAUAUGUUUUAUGGUCAUGCCCCGAUGGUCAAUGGUUUAUUCUUAAUGAAUCUCGAACGUAAUGUUACACAUAUUCAUAGUGUGAAUACCAAAAGAUGUAAAGUUGAUAACGAUAGUCCCACAUACUUGUGGCACUGCCGCGUUGGUCACAUUGGUGUCAAGCGCAUGAAGAAGCUCCAUGCUGAUGGACUCUUAGAGUCUCUCGAUUAUGAAUCAUUUGACACAUGCGAACCAUGCCUCAUGGGCAAAAUGACCAAGACUCCGUUCUCCGGAACAAUGGAGCGAGCUACCAACUUAUUGGAAAUCAUACAUACCGAUGUGUGCGGUCCAAUGAGCGUUGAGGCUCGCGGAGGAUAUCGUUAUGUUCUCACUCUCACUGAUGACUUGAGUAGAUAUGGGUAUGUCUACUUGAUGAAACACAAGUCUGAGACCUUUGAAAAGUUCAAGGAAUUUCAGAAUGAGGUAGAGAAUCAACGUGACCGAAAGAUAAAGUUCUUACGAUCAGAUCAUGGAGGAGAAUAUUUAAGUCACGAAUUUGGUACGCACUUAAGAAAAUGUGGAAUCGUUUCACAACUCACGCCGCCUGGAACACCUCAGCGUAACAGUGUGUCUGAACGUCGUAAUCGCACUCUAUUGGAUAUGGUGCGGUCUAUGAUGUCUCUUACCGAUUUACCGCUAUCAUUUUGGGGAUAUGCUCUAGAGACAGCUACAUUCACUUUAAAUAGGGCUCCGUCUAAAUCUGUUGAGAUGACACCGUAUGAAUUAUGGUUUGGGAAGAAACCUAAGCUGUUGUUUCUAAAAGUUUGGGGAUGCGAUGCUUAUGUCAAGAAACUUCAACCUGAAAAGCUCGAACCCAAGUCGGGAAAAUGCGUCUUCAUAGGAUACCCUAAGGAAACCAUUGGGUAUACCUUCUACUUAAGAUCCGGGGGCAAGAUCUUUGUUUCCAAGAACGGAUCCUUUCUAGAAAAAGAGUUUCUCUCGAAAGAAGUAAGUGGGAGGAAAGUAGAACUCGAUGAAGUACUACCUCUUGAACCAGAAAGUAGUGCAGCUCAGGAAAAUGUUCCUGUGGUGCCUACACCAACUGGAGAGGAAAUUAAUGAUGAUGAUCAAGGUACUUCGGAUCAAGUUGCUACUAAACUUUGUAGGUCCACAAGGACACGUUCCACACCAGAGUGGUAUGGCAACCCUGUCCUGGAAAUCAUGUUGUUAGACAACGGUGAACCUUCGAACUAUGAAGAAGCGAUGGCGGGCCCAGAUUCCAACAAAUGAAGCCAUGCAAUCCGAGAUAGAAUCCAUGAAUGAAAACAAAGUAUGGACUUUGACAGACUUGCCCGAUGAUCGGCGAGCGAUAGAAAACAAAUGGAUCUUUAAGAAGAAGACGGACGCGGAUGGUAAUAUUACCAUCUAUAAAUCUCGACCUGUCGCUAAGGGUUAUCGGCAAGUUCAAGGGGUUGACUACGAUGAGACUUUCUCUCCCGUAGCGAAGCUGAAGUCCGUCCGAAUCAUGUUAGCAAUUGCCGCAUACUAUGAUUAUGAGAUAUGGCAGAUGGACAUCAAAACGGCAUUCCUUAACGGACAUCUUAAGGAAGAACUGUAUAUGAUGCAGCCAGAGGGUUUUGUCGAUCCUAAGAAUGCUAACAAAGUAUGCAAGCUCCAGCGAUCCAUUUAUGGGCUGGCGCAAGCAUCUCGGAGUUGGAACAUUCGCUUUGAUGAGAUGAUCAAAGCGUUUGGGUUUAUGCAGACUUAUGGAGAAGCCUGCGUUUACAAGAAAGUGAGUGGGAGCUCUGUAGCAUUUCGCAUAUUAUAUGUAGAUGACAUACUCUUGAUGGGAAAUGAUAUAGAACUUUUGGACAGCAUUAAGGCCUACUUGAAUAAGUGUUUUUCAAUGAAGGACCUUGGAGAAGCUGCUUACAUAUUAGGCAUCAAGAUCUAUAGGGAUAGAUCAAGACGCCUCAUAGGUAUUUCACAAAGCACAUACCUUGAUAAGAUUUUGAAGAAGUUCAAAAUGGAUCAGUCCAAGAAAGGGUUCUUGCCUGUAUUGCAAGGUGUGAGAUUGAGCUCGGCUCAAUGCCCGACCACGACAAAAGAUAAAGAAGAGAUGAGUGUCAUCCCCUAUGCUUUAGCCAUAGGAUCUAUUAUGUAUGCCAUGCUAUGUAACAGACCUGAUGUAAACCUUGUCGUAAGUUUGGUAGGAAGGUACCAAAGUAAUCCCGGCAAGGAACACUGGACAACGGUCAAGAAUAUCCUGAAGUACCUAAAAAGGACAAAGGACAUGUUUCUUGUUUAUGGAGGUGACGAAGAGCUCGUCGUAAAGGGUUACGUCAAUGCUAGCUUCGACACAGAUCUGGAUGACUCUUAAGUCACAAACCGGAUACGUGUAUAUGUUGAAUGGUGGAGCAGUAAGCUGGUGCAGCUGCAAGCAGAGCGUCGUGGCGGGAUCUACAUGUGAAGCGGAGUACAUGGCAGCCUCGGAGGCAGCGCAUGAAGCAAUUUGGGUGAAGGAGUUCAUCACCGACCUAGGAGUCAUACCCAAUGCGUCGGGGCCGAUCAAACUCCUCUGUGACAACACUGGAGCUAUUGCCCUUGCCAAGGAGCCCAGGUUUCACAAGAAGACCAGGCACAUCAAGCGUCGUUUCAACUCCAUCCGUGAAAAUGUUCAAGAUGGAGACAUAGAUAUUUGCAAAGUACAUACGGAUCUGAAUGUCGCAGAUCCAUUGACUAAACCUCUUUCACGAGCAAAACAUGAUCAACACCAGAACUCUAUGGGUGUUCGAUUCAUCACAAUGUAACUAAAUUAUUGACUCUAGUGCAAGUGGGAGACUGUUGGAAAUAUGCCCUAGAGGCAAUAAUAAAAGAGUUAUUAUUAUAUUUCCUUGUUCAUGAUAAUUGUCUUUAUUCAUGCUAUAAUUGUAUUAUCCGGAAAUCGUAAUACACGUGUGAAUACAUAGACCAUAAUAUGUCCCUAAUAAGCCUCUAGUUGACUAGCUCGUUGAUCAACAGAUAGUCAUGGUUUCCUGACUAUGGACAUUAGAUGUCGUUGAUAAUGGGAUCACAUCAUUGGGAGAAUGAUGUGAUGGACAAGACCCAAUCCUAAGCAUAGCACAAGAUCGUGUAGUUCGUUUUGCUAGAGCUUUUCCAAUGUCAAGUAUCUUUUCCUUAGACCAUGAGAUCGUGUAACUCCCGGAUACCGUAGGAGUGCUUUGGGUGUACCAAACGUCACAACAUAACUGGGUGACUAUAAAGGUGCACUACAGGUAUCUCCGAAAGUGUCUGUUGGGUUGACAUGGAUCGAGACUGGGAUUUGUCACUCCGUAUGACGGAGAGGUAUCUCCGGGCCCACUCGGUAAUGCAUCAUCAUAAUGAGCUCAAAGUGACCAAGUGUCUGGUCACGGGAUCAUGCAUUACGGUACGAGUAAAGUGACUUGCCGGUAACGAGACUGAACGAGGUAUUGGGAUAUCGACGAUCGAGUCUCGGGCAAGUAACAUACCGUUUGACAAAGGGAAUUGUAUAUGGGGUUGAUUGAAUCCUCGACAUCGUGGUUCAUCCGAUGAGAUCAUCGAGGAGCAUGUGGUAGCCAACAUGGGUAUCCAGAUCCCGCUGUUGGUUAUUGACCGGAGAGCCGUCUCGGUCAUGUCUGCAUGUCUCCCGAACCCGUAGGGUCUACACACUUAAGGUUCGGUGACGCUAGGGUUGUAUGAAUAUAAGUAUGCAGCAAACCGAAAGUUGUUCGGAGGCCCGGAUGAGAUCCCGAACGUCACGAGGAGUUCCGGAAUAGUUUGGAGGUAAAGAAUUAUAUAUAGGAAGUGCAGUUUCGGCCACCGGGAAAGUUUCGGGGGUCACCGGUAUUGUACCGGGACCACCGGAAGGGUCCCGGGGGUCCACCGGGUGGGGCCACCUAUCCCGGAGGGCCCCGCGGGCUGAAGUGGGAGGGGAACCAGCCCUUGGUGGGCUGGUGCGCCCCCCUGGGCCCCCUCUGCGUCUAGGGUUGGGAACCCUACGGGAGGGGGCGCCUCCACUUGCCUUGGGGGGCACUCCACCCCCCUUGGCCGCCGCCCCCCUAGAGAUCCCAUCUCUAGGGCCGGCGCCCCCCCUGGGGGCCUAUAUAAAGGAGGGGGGAGGGAGGGCAGCCGCACCUGAAGUUUUGGCGCCUCCCUCUCCCCUUGCUACACCUCCUCCUCCUGUAGUUGCUUGGCGAAGCCUGCCGGAACUCUGCUGCAUCCACCACCACGUCGUCGUGCUGCUGGAUCUUCAUCAACCUCUCCUUUUCCCUUGCUGGAUCAAGAAGGAGGAGACGUCAUCCGCUCCGUACGUGUGUUGAACGCGGAGGUGUUGUCCGUUCGGCACUUGGUCAUCGGUGAUUUGAUCACGACGAGUACGACUCCCUCAACCCCGUUCUCUUGAACGCUUCCGCUCGCAAUCUACAAAGGUAUGUAGAUGCACUCCUAUCACUCGUUGCUUAGAUGAACUCAUAGAUGGAUCUUGGUGAAACCGUAGGAAUUUUUUUAUUUUCUGCAACGUUCCCCGACAUUAAUUUAGGUAUUUUAGGUGUUUAAUCUUAGAAUAAUGUAGUAUGAACCCUAGUUAUGAUCGAAUCAUGUUCAAAAUGUAGGUUUUUAAUUAGGUGUAGUAAAUAGAAUUUAGGUGUUUUAGGUGUCACAUUUGUUGUUAUUUUUUAGUUAAAGCAAUUAUUCCCGCAUCGACGUUGACGAUGCCUAUCCCACAUCCUCAUCGUCGACUCGAUGGAGGAGGCCUGGGCUCGGUGAGGAGCCAUGUACAGGACUGGGCUUCGCCGGGCUGGUACUGGGAGGUGCUACCUUCUGGGGGGCGCAACUUGGUGAGAAGCCAGCCCAUCAUUGACCCGAACCUUCUUUGGUGGCGGUCGCGUGGGCCAGUGAGGGUGCGGAGGCUUGAGGACCCCGCGGAGGUGGUACAUCACCGUGUCAGCGAGGAGGAUGAGCACGUCCGUCGCUACAUGGUUGCGUUGGAGGGCAGGUUCUCCAAUAUCUAGGAGGUUCUUCAGGGAUCUCACUGGAGCUAUGAUCAUGUGAUGGUUCCUUCUCUUUGGGUGUGCACCGCCCACGCCGAUACCCGCCGUUUGCUACGGUUUUAGCUGUAUUAGUGAUGCUAUAUGUAUGAUACUAUUCGAGAUCUAUUAGUGAUAAUAUUCGACGAUGUACGAACGAAAGAGAUGAUUUAGUUUUGCUUAUUGAAUGAAUGCUAAUUUCAAUACUAUUUUAUUUUACAAUUUGGUUUUGCUUAUUGAAUGCUCAAAUUGGAAAACUACUCCAUCAAGUUUGAAUGCUCAUAUGAUGUAGAUAUAAACAUGUAUAUGUUGUGUUGCACAAAUAGGAUAUGUGCUUGCCCAAGUGGCCGGCCAUGUUUGCAGGUUACACCUCCUAUAGUGGCCUAUGUUUUGCCGGAGUGUUAAUUAAUUUCCGUUCCGGCAAAUUUCAGGCGCUCGAUAUGUCCUUUUUUAGCAAAGGUCAUGCCGGAUUUUUUCGUGAAUUCUGGUGACUUGUGCUAGAAUAUGUAGGAAAUAUCGAGUGGCAUGGAUUUUCUAGAAAAAUAAUUAAAUGACAUUUUGGGUUGACUUUAAGUCUGUCGAGGCUCCAUCAUCGAAGGUUGAAAAAUCAGUGAGGGAGUGUAUACACCAUAUAUGAGAGAGGACGAACAAGCCCGACUGUUGUUGUGGGGGUCGUUUCUCCUUCUUCUCCGGGUGCUAGACCUUUGUUAUGCACUAGGGGAAGGAGGAGUAACGACCAUCACCGACGGUCGCAAAUGUCAGAGAGGAAUCAGUGAGUGAGAGUCUCCACCACCACCAACGGUUGAAUGUAUACACCACAUGAGUUGAGAGUUUUCAAGAAAAAGACUUGACAGACCGAUAGUCAACCUGUGAUGAAUAAUAAUGAUCUGAUUUAAUUUUUGUAGUACAUAUAUUGAAUUUUAAUCUUUGAAUUAUGAACGUAGGAAAUGUCGUCAUCGGACAAUGAAAGUCUCCCGGGGGAGUGCAGCUGGUACAACGACGAAUGAGGUCUGUGCGACAGGCCUCACCUGGACGAAGAUCGGCUCUUCAGCAUUAAGCUCCAAGAGACCUUCGAUGUUGAAACGGUACGCAACGACGACAAGUGUUUUUUUGUAAUUAAGCAUGACUUCAACUAUUUCAAUGUUUAAUUUUUAUAUUUUACAAUUUGAGUAGCUUAACCCAUGCCAUGCAAGACACUAUGUCUUGGAGAGGAUGGAUUUUGAAGACCAUGAAAAUUUCGAAACAAAGAAAAUUCACCUAAGGACCCAUCAUGGUAUGGAUUUUGAAGUAAAUCUGUACAAUUCUGAGAGCGUAACCCAUUUUGGUUGCAAAAAUUGGGAAGCACUUUGCAAGAUGUAUGAUUUUUAUGAGGGUAUGCUUGUCACCAUGGAUCUUGGUGAUCCUGACAUCGACCAAGACAAUAUGGACAUUUGGGUCGUUAUUGAUACACUUCCAAUUCUACCGCUAUGUGAGUUUCUCAAACAUAGUUAUUAACUAAUUUAUAUUAUUUAUUUCAAAAUAGUUGAUAACUUAUUUCCAUUGAUAGCUUAUUUUCAUUCUUCAAACAAUGUGCGGAAGAUGGUAGACAGAAACUACUACAUCGAUGGCUCUGAGUUAACUUAUCAGGAGAAAAAUCAUCUGAUCGCAUUUUGUACUAAUCUUGAGAAUUGCAAUACCUAUUAUCAAACUCCUCCACAUUAUGGUGAAUACGUGCCACUAGUGCACGUGUUGAACCACGCUAACAUCCAUGGACAUGCCAUGGUAAGAUUUUUAACUAUUACGACAUCCGUGCAUCUUUUGCAUAAAUUCUUUUAAAACUUAAGUACAUUGCUAACUACGAAGUUAUUACUAUGUUUUUCAACAGAAAAUCCCGUCGGAUUGUGUGCCUCAUCUGAUGUAUCAGAAUGGUCGCCUUGAUGUUUUGAACAUACAACCAGGUCAUCCUAUGAGUCACACAUGUGAAUAUCGGAUUUCUAAAAACAGUGAAGACCUGAUAAUCAAAGAAUGGAAAAAAAUGUAUGGUCAGUUGUAGGGAGGUUCUGGGAAGCAAGAUCGUGCGAGAGGCAAGAAUUGAAGACAGGAUAAUCUCCAUUCUCCAUAAUGGAGAGUCAGGGGCUAUAUUGUUUUAUGCUAUUUUACCUAGGAGAAGGUAGUAGGUCCUAGCUAAUACUCAUAAUUAUGUGCUAAGAACAACUAAGUAUGAUUGGUUAGAUGACUAUGAUGAUGAUGUGGUAUCGGUAUAAGUUGUAUGAUCGAUGAUGAUGAGUAUGACUUGUUAUUAUGAUACCAAUGAUGAGUUAUUUAUUAUUAUGAUCGAUGAUGCAUGAUGUUAAGUUGUUAUAUGAGCAUGAUAAGUUAUUAUAUAUAUAUCAGUAGAUGAAAUGAACAUGGAUUAGAUUUAAGUGGAGGCAACAUGUGGCGCACAUCAAAAGUACUACUAAUGCAAACUAGAUCAAGUUUGGAUUAGUAGUACUUUCGACAUGCUCCACAUGUUGCCUCCACUUGAAUCUACUCCACGUUCAUUUCACCCACUGUUAUAUAUAAUAACUAAUCAUGAUCAUAAAAUCAUGUGAUGAAAGUAUUGUAUGUAAAACCACAACGAAAAUAAGCUGUAUUUUUAAAAAUACAGGAAAAGUUAGCAGCAGCGCUUUUUAGAAGAAGCGCUACUGCUACUUAGUACUAUUAGCAGCGCUUUUCAAAAGAAGCACUACUGCUAACUAGGUAUAGUUGUAGCGCCUUAGUGGUAGCGCUGGUACAAGCGCUACUGCUAGCUCAAAAACAAGCGCUAUUACUAGGGUUUUCCCUAGUAGUGAUCGAUGGGUCUGAGGUGUCAGAGUCUUACGUGGCGGUGAUCUGGAUUACCGCAAAGCCCCUCCACCCCCAGUUUGCUUUCGAUUUGCAGAAAAAAGAUGUCCGGACCAGUCAGCGAAUGGAUACAUGACCGCGUUUGAUAGGAACACACGUCUGGACCGCGCGGCCUGGAAGGUUGCGGACAGUUUGAGGGUCUAUGGUUGAGAUGCCCUUACCCCUUGUGGGGCUCCCGCAAGGGUUACUUUCUUGGCAUGCGAGCUCUCAAGUAAUGUGACCAGAACACCGCCCCAUGUUGCGUGAUGGGCGCUCCCUUUGGAUUUCUUUUUUUAAAUACAUGUUUCUGGGUUUUAGAUAUUUUUUGUUUUUUGGCUUUUCGGUUUUUGCUUGGUUUUCUCUAAGUUUUGGAGGAUUUUUUUGGAGGGGCGAGGAGGGUGGUUCUUCUCGAGAAUAGUGCUUUUCUGCAAGAGGCACACCAUGUGCUAAGCACAGUUGUCCUUUCAAAAUAAAGAAAAACACAGUUUGUGCCUCACUAGAAAGCAUAGUUCUGCUUCUUGUGGAGGCACAUAUUUACUUCCACACUCGCGAGUGUUGAGUAUCGUGAUUAUUAGGAAAUCUAGGAUAGAGUAGGAUAUUAUUUUACCUUGCCUUGUACUCCAAAAUGAUUAUGUACUCCUAUAUAUAUGCCCAUCAGACGCAAGCAAUACAACAAACUAUUCCACCAAUUCCUCUCUCUCCCUUCUAACAUGGUAUUAGACUGCGUCAGACUCGUCGGCUGUCUCUGCUCAGGCGUCGCUGCUCCAUUGGUCGCUCGGGCCUCGCUGCCCGGGCGUCGGUGUUGCUUUGGCAUCCCGGGUGUUGGUGCUGACGCGCUCGAGCGCCCGACUUCCCAUGCCGUCCGUCAUCGCUGGCUUCAUCUCAGACUCUGCCUCCACCGAGCGGCAUCCCCGACCUCACGCGCAAUCGGCUUGAUCACCCGCUCGCCACCGUGAUCCGCCCCAUCUACGUCGCACGACCGACCUGGCCAGUCGGUGGUGCGCGCCUCCGCGGGUCCCGUGAAGAUCGUUCCCGAGUUCAGCGCGCCCCUCCACCAAUCGAGCAUUGGGCUGCCAUUGCGUCGCCCCGUCGGGCCGCAGCGCCGCCGCCCCGUGGUUCUUCUCUCGGUUGCACCGACCCGCGUCACCGCUACAUCGCCCCUUCAGGGCGGAGUGCCGCGGCCCGCGGUCCACAGCCGCCCCGAUGUCGUCCGAUCCAGGUCGUCCACGUGGUUGCACCGACCCACGAGCCGCCGCUGCAUCACCUCGUCGGGCCGUAGCGAGCGUGGCAUGCGGUCCAUGCCGCCGUCGCGAGACUGUUCCCGUGGUUGCACCGACCCCGGGUUUCGGCACUUCGCCGCCCCUUCGGGCUGUAGCGCUGCGGCUCGCGGUCCCCGCCGCUGCCCCGAGGUUUUCACGGGCGUCGCCCCCCUGCCCGACGCCACUGCGUCGCCCCUUCGGGCCGUAGCGCCGCGGCCCGCGGUCCACUCCGCCGUCACCACGCGUCGACCUCCCGUGGUAUGCGCCGCGCCGUCUUCCUUGGAGUGGGAACACCACCGUCCGCGCCGGUCUUCGUCACGCGCUGUCAGGGUUCUUCGCCUACUUCGAGCACCGCCGCCGCGCUCCUAAUCUAGCCGCCGCUACCCCCGUAGCCGCCGUCGCUCGUCCACCUCCUUCGUCUUCAUCCAGCACUAGCCCAUCGCCGUCAUCUACCUCGACCACUUCGUCUACUCUGAUAACCGCGGGCGACAUCGGCCCCGCACCUAUUGGCGCCGCAACCGUCAUCGAGUUCGUCUCUGCUAGCCUCUCCGACUUCUUUGACAUGGCGUACAGCUCGUGUAGGUCCCCUUCUACGCAUGCCCGGUGCUGGCAACACCGAUGCAUGCCUUCGUCCAUGAUGUGUCCCCGGGCCUGGCAAGCCUGGAUCGGCGCUUUGUCAACUUCGUCUUCGUUCGUCUACGCAUGCCCGAUACUGGCAACACCGAUGCGUGCCUUCGUCCACGAUGUGUCCUCGGGCUUGGAAAAACCCCCGCGACGCGUCGUCAACAACGUCUUCUUCUCGGCGCACCACUACUUCGACACCAUUGCGCCCAUGACUAACUCGACGCCUCCUCGCGCCUGCGGCUCCACGGUGACUUCCUCGACACCGGCUACCCCGGCUCGACAUCGACCACGGCAUUAUUCGCACGGUUACCUCGAGCACGGCUCCACCACUUACGCUCUUGGCUACCUCGACAAACGGAACAAAGGGCUACGGCCUUGCUUGAGCAACCUCGUCGGUUUCCACUCCAGCCACGACUUCGCGAUGCAUCGACCGUUACGAUUGUGGGGGAGUGUCCGUCGGGUGCCUUCGGAUUCUUCACCAGUCUCACCAUCUGCGUCGCUACCGUUCUGACUGCAGGGGGAUGUUGAGUAUCGUGAUUAUUAGGAAAGCUAGGAUAGAGUAGGAUAUUAUUCUACCUUGCCUUGUACUUCAAGAUGAUCAUGUACUCCUAUAUAUAUGCUCAUCAGGCUCAAGCAAUACAACGAACUAUUCCACCAAUCCCUCUCUCCCUUCUAACAGCGAGAAGCACAACUUGUGCUUCCACGAUAAGCACAAAUUUACUAAUGAAAGCACAGAUUUAAGUUGUGCUUCUCAAAAAAGGAAAUACACGGAUAAGCUUGAAAGGAAAAGCACACUUAUGUAAGAAAACACAUAUUUGCUUUCGUGGGAAGCUCGACCUAUUUUUUUUUCUUACUCUUUUUGGUUUUUGAUUUUUUUCAUGAAAAAAGUUCAUCGACACCUAUUAGCAUGAGAUCUAGUUUUGAAGAUCUCGACGUGAGAAAUCCAACAAUGAAAAUGGUUCAGUAUUUGGACGCACAGUUCGGGAGAUAAAACAUUUUAAAUAAACGAAUCUACGGAAAAAAACACCAGGUUGCGAGAAGUGACGCACAUGCAGUACCCCACUUGUUGGCACCUGAGAAGGUGGGGAAUGACAUUUGUUAGGGUUACCCCGUAACUAGUGAUUUCGCUAAUACCCAUCCAGCAAAAAAAAAAAAACUCUCCAAAUUCUCUGGUUUCUCAAAGGAAAAUUUUCCUUGAUCUCAAACAAACAAAACACCUAAUUCUCUGGCUUCUCAAAAGAAAAAUCUCCUAAUUGUCUGUGGUAUGUACAUGGCGACCCAAAAUCACAGGGCAUUGAUGAACAGGUAUAUCGUUUCACCAUUUACAAACACAUUAUGGUUAUAUUGGGAGCGCUAUACGAGGGGAAAAGGCGAUAUACAGAAACGAGUUUACGAAUCUUAGCACAGAUCAGCGACCCACAGUCGACGUGGCACAAAUCUUCUCCCAAUACACCAAGGCUGUUUUUGAUCUACCAGGAUUAGUUCAGUGGCCCAUAGGGUGUUUUGCUAUCUUGUGUCUGGUAGCAGGGUUUAGCAAAGGUUCUACUAGUUCUCUUCAUGAGGUAAAGAAAAUUUUUGCAGGCAAAAUAAGCAGACUGGAUGCUACUCCCUCUGUUCUAAAUAUAAGUCUUUAGAUUUCAAUGCGGACCACAUACGGAUGUAUAUAAACGUACUUUAGAGUGUAAACUCACUAAUUUUAGGACUACAUACUUAUAUUUAGGAACGGAAGGAGUAUAAAUCUGACAGGCAUGUUUCUAUUCACACCUGCAGUUCCGAAAGUACCAGUCCAAGUGGAAAAAAAUAGAUUGUAAGCAUGCACUCAGCCUUGUGUACUCCCUCUAUUUCCAACUGCACAAGCUCUCUUACAUCAACCAAACCAUCUCACCUCCAUCAAGUAGCGAAAGAUAAUCUACAUUACAUGAUAGAAUCCACUGUUCUCUCUCCCUGUCACCACACCACACUGCCCGAGCUAACAAAUUACAGACAGCGGAGGGAGAGAAUGCAAGGGCAAAAAUAGAAUCAAAUUGAAUACAAACGGUCAAAACCUCAAACGGAGAAGGAAAAAAAAAUACCAUCCACAAAAAUCUAGAGCAAAACUUCAUAUUUCCAGUGUUGGAAACUAUAUGAACCCAAGUACCGUGGAGUGCUUUCAUAAGGGAACCAAGAAUAAGGUUCUUCAACUUGCAUUCCCUUUUACCAAUCGUACGAUAGUAAUUCAGUGUUGUUCACUUGCGUCUCUUCCGUCGCGAUCAUCCUCGGGCUCCAUUGCCUUUACAGUACUUUUCUCAUGGCCAUCAGACAGCUUCUUGAACACUGCAUUCAUGUCAUCGAUGGUCUUCGCCUCGAUACAACUCAUGUUGCUUUCAGGCUCCCCAUCAUCUCCGGCCAAAUGCAGACUUUCAACAUGUGCUCCUUCUGGAAGACUGUCGUGUCUCGGGCGCUCGACAGCCUCUGCAUAUCCAACUUUAUCUUCGUUUUGUUCAAAGUAAUUGUUCACAUCAACACUAGAGUGUUCCUUUGGAACAGCAGAAAUGUCCUCCACUGAUUUUGCAUCAAUGACAUGCAACUGUCCAGAUCCCUCCAAAGGCUCUGAGUCGAUAUCAACGCCUGAGAUAAGUGCGGUUUCAGCGUCAAGGAUGGGCCCAUCAACCCCACCAGCACUUGCUUGUUUAAAGGCCAUCUCUAUGUCCUCCAGGGACUUGGCAUCAACAGCCAUCAUCUCAGCAUCAGUUUUAGCUGUCCCAAGCUCAUUUUUAGUAACUUCCAGUUCAGUUGCUCCAACUGCUAAGUAUGCUUCUGACAGAGUAUUGACUGAAGGUGUUUCUGUGACUUCUGGCUCGUGGCAUGGUAGGUGUUUCUGUAGACUUUCAACAUGUGUUCCUUCUGGAAGACUGUCGUGUUUCGCGCAUUCUGCAACCUCUCCACAUCCAACUUCAUCUUCGCUUUGUUCGAAGCAAUUGCUCACAUUAACAUUAGAGUGUUCCUUCAAAGCAGCAGAAAUGUCUUCAACAGAUUUUGCAUCAAUCACAUGCAGUUCUUCAGAACCCUCUAAAGGCUCCAAGUCAAUAUCAACGCCUGAGAUGUGUGCGGUUUCAGCCUCAUCAACACCACCACCACUCGCUUGUUUAAAGGCCAUCUCUAUGUCCUCCAGGGACUUGGCAUCAACAGCCAUCAUCUCAGCAUCAGUUUUAGCUGUCCCGGGCUCAUUUUUAGUAACUUCCAGUUCAGUUGUUCCAACCACUAAGUAUGCUUCAGAUGGUGUAUUGACUGAAGGCAUUUCUGUGACUUCUGGUUCGUCGCAUGGUAGAUUCAAGUCUCUGUUCAUUGCUUCAAGAAUCCUUCGCCGUGGAUUGUAGACAGUUUGCUCAGGAUCAUCAUGAGAUGAUCCUAAUGACCAACUGAAUUCAGGAUCAGUGCCGCUUAGAUAAUCAACCAAUGGGGACAGACCGCCAGAGUCUAAUGCACAGGCAUCUGAUGUGGCAGUGUCACCAGAAGUCUUAGGGCUAAUCAAGGAGUCUUCUGCAACACCAUCGGCAGGGUUGUAAGUACGGGAGCUAAGAUCAGGCACCUGCUGAUCCAGUCUCACCGGUUCUAUCCGGAAGUCUCCCACCGCAUCCAGUUCCGACAGGAAACUUUCAUCAAUACCGUUAUCCUCUAAAGGCUCAGGAUAGAUUCUAUCAGCAUCAUCAUCAUCAGAAUCAAGUAGAUAAUCAGAAGUCAUUUCUUCAUUCAUAUCAACCAUAUCCACCCUGUCAGGUUCAGAAGCCACCGAAAAAAAUGGGUUUGAGACAUCUUUAGGUUCAAUCGAUGGAGAUUGGUUGGAACCACUCGCACCAGGAGGACACAAGGAAGCAACCACAGAACUUGGGCUUACUUCCGAUGCAACAUCAAAGUGCUCUUCAAUUACAUGCAAGUCAGUCAUGGCAGUACCAGAACCAGUAAACGCUCCAGUUUCAUGCUUUUCUUCCAUGUUGAAGUUCUCGAGAACCCUCUCCUCAGGGAUAGGGUGAAGGUCCAUAGAUAUUGCUGGUAAUGUUUCCUUUUCAAAAUCAGUUAGCAAGUCCUGAGGCCCAUGAAUAAGGUUUUGUAAUGGGAUUUCAUUGCUUGGACAGGACAUGGAAUCAACAUUUCCAUCUUCCUCGGCAAUACUGGUGGCACCAAGACCAAGGUCCCUUGAUCUCAAUUCAUGAUCUUCAGCUGGCCUAGGAGAAGAAAGCCAUUCUGAGACUUCAGCUGUUAUGUUUGGUGCUAUAGAAGACUUGGCACCCAGGACGCUUUCACCUGGACAAGAGUACAUCCAUUAUAUAAUAAGAAGACAAUACGACCGAAAAAGAGAGAAAAGCUAGAAAUUCCCAUCCACCCGUUAAUUUUGUGGACCUAUUUUAUUAGUGGACUACGACCGACAAACCUUCACAGCGGUACUUCAGAUUACAGCCGAUAGAUCAUCAUGAAUGUAACUAAACAGAACUGAACCGGUAAAUCUUCAUCACCGCGCCUAAAUAGUUCACAACCAAUGGACCAUCACAACUAUACUUAAACAGAUCGCAACCAUGGUCAUCUUAGACAUGUAUUAGAAUUAUUAUGCUAUUUACAAUAAUAACACCAAAAUGGUUGGCGGGCUGUUUGAUCCAAAAUUAAACAAUGGGGUGGAAUCGACUACGGCCGUUCAUGAUCAAUUUAGACACGAUUUUGGAGAAUACCCAUUAGUCGUGAUACUAUAUUUAGUACACUUACAAAAAUCCAUCAGUUGGAUAUAUAUCGACGCUGAUCCGUUCAGGUAAGGAUGUUGAGCGGGAAAUAGUGCUAGUUGUUCAAAUAAAACUCUAUCGUGCGCGGGGUAUUCAUUCAUUUAAGUUGUCAGAUGUAAGUUGCUUACCAUCCCCAUCAUCCCAGCUAAGCAAGUCACCAACUGGAUGAAGUGGCACCGUAGAAUUCCCAUCUGACUUGAGCAUGUAAUUGUCAUCAUGACCCUUCCCUUUUGUUGAGACAAGAUAUGCCUCUCUUUCUUCGGAUCUUUCGAAGACAAAAUGAUGCAGAGCAAUCUCACGCUCAUCAAUGUCACUGUUGUCUAGUUCAACAUCCACGGAGUUGAUACCAUCUGAACAUUCACUGCCAGCAUCUGCAAGGUCACUGUCCUGUCUCAGGAGAGCUGGUGACUCAUGCUCCCUGUGCACAUCCUUUUCAUCGAGGUCCUUGUGUUCCUCCUGAUCGGCAACCGAAGAAGCCAUAUCAGAUUCAGUAACAGAACUCAAUUUGGACUCACUCUUGUCACUGAACUGCCUUUGAAAAGUACUUGUGCUCCCUUCUACUGUCUCAGGGACAAAAUAUGGCCUCAAUCUAGACAAACGUCUCUCCUGCGUAGCAUCUGUAGUUCCAAAGUUGAAGCUCUCGUGCCUUCUAAAUAUUUCACGAUGAGAAGUUUGUGGUGAUUCCCCAGGGCUUAAAUUAUCAUGUGCAGAAACGCCACUUUCACUGGAAUGCUCAAGAAAAUCAAAUGGGUUCUUUCUUGCAUGCAGGAUUGAAGGAGCUGAGCCAGGAAUUGCCGCCUCGUCAGAAUCAUAUGGAAGGUCAAACGGGUUCCUCCUUGUUACUGAGAUGUGUGAUACUUGUGCACCAAAGCGUGAUAAGUCAUCUCCGCUUUUCCCAUUGGCAUCCGUUAGGUUACUGUCAAUGUCAAAUAUUAUAUUCUUCCUGGAUCUUCGCCUAACCAUCAAAAUCUCCAAUCUACGGUUUCUUUCCAUCUCAGAGUAUCCAAGAUCCAUCAGAUUCUUUGCAUCAUCUGCUGUCCAAAUAAAUGCAGCUUCCUGACCUUCAUCUUUCUUGUUCUCCUCACCACCAUCUUUAGUAUCAUUGUUGCCAUCAUCAUCAUCAUCAUUACUAUCAUCAUCCAUUUCAUGAUCCUGCGAGGAGACAUGUGAAUCACUGUCUGAAUCAUCAUUAGGAAUGGGAUCAGGACGAGUGAAAUCAGCACCCAGAAGAGGGUCGAUUUCAUCAAGAACUGGUGCAAUGUCAGUCAUGGAUGCAUCAGGUGAAGAACUCUCAGCCCCAUCAGAGUCAAAACCAGAUGAACCAUCCUGACUGCCAACUGAUGCCCAUGGUGAACCAAGAGAGGAAUCAAGGAGAUUUUCCUCAACGGCCUUGCUAGUAUUAACCUUAAGCACAUCAAGCUUUUUAUUCUGCCGCACAGAAACUGCAUAAGUUGGUCUGCUAGUUCCAGCUGUCCCAUCAGUCAGCUUCUCUUCAGAGAAAUCACUCACUUUGCUAGCUGCUAGAUUCAGAUUCUCCUGCAUUUCAGCAUGCUUAUUAAAAUUCUCACUGGAUGAGAACAUGUCCAAGGGUGCAUUCUUCUCAUCCAGACCUUCAAAUAAGCUAGCGUUCCUAUCAGCCAUAUCUGUCACAAAAAAUGAAUCUGCGAAUUGCAUUCCCUGGUUAAAGUUUAAGCCCUCCCUAAUCCCAGCCUCUCCACGGAAAUUGACCAUGGAAGGAAAUGGAGUUAAUGUUUUAGGUUUGUCGCCAUGUUCAAACCUCUCAUCUUCUUCAUCAACUCUUCUCAGAAGAGGAACCUCAUCAUCAAGCUGAGUAGACCUCUCUCUGACAGAACCUGUCCGCUUUGUUUCCCUUUCUUUGAAGUUUUCUGUAGUAUUCCUAAAACUAGGCACCGAAAUUCUCUGAUCUGACCCAAACUGAACAUCCCUUGAAGAAUUCUCCAUCUUAAAAGCUGGAAUCUCUGGAGUAGUCUUGGUAUCCUCAUCAUUAGCUUCAGGUAGGUUCGUGUCUCCAUAACUCAGUAGGAUUCCCAGAAGAAGAGUGGUACAUAUAAUUACAGGUGAAGAGGAAAGAAGGAACGCAAAGAAUCCCGGGGCAGAUCUGUACAAUAAGUAGAGCAAAACACCCAAACUGAACAGGACUGGAUGUUCAGAGACACAUCUGUAGCUUGUUCUAAUGGAGGACCUCAGAACUUUCUUGAUACACAGACCAACUUGUUUUGUCUCAAGAGCCAUGGCAUGUACCCUCUCAGUCUCCAGCACAAACCUAGCAUUGCAAAAAAUACAGAAAAUAUUCAGUUGGUUCAUCUAGUAAAACAUAGAAUUUUGUAUCACUUGGUGCAUAUAAAAUUAUUUCCAAAAAAAAUCUGUUAUGCUAACUUAACAAAUCAACGCAAGUUAUGGUUUGUUCCUAAUUUUUAAGAGAGCCGAGCUAAUCCGAAUAACCACAGUUCAGUAGACCAACUGCACCAAUUUUUUGCAAUUGAGCCAAAUACAAGAUGGUUAGAUCCAUAGGAGAACUAGCUAGUAAAAUUAGAUCGGGAGUACCCUAGCGCAAACAUAAGGCGAGCUAAUAAGCAACUCUUAUUAAGAAAUUGCCCAGCAAUUGGCAAUUCACAAAUCAAUUUCCUCAACAACAAAGAAAAGGCAAGCCCGUUACCAGGCAGAUCAUCGCUGGUGGGACACUAUCUAGCAUCAAAAGAGCUUCAGAUGCGAAAUCGAUAAGCUAAACCCCGACUAGAGUCUAGAGAAGGUGAGUCAUAGCACGAACAAUGGAAACGCCAUCACCUUUACUGCUUAUCGAGCACAGAUCUUCCCCACGGAGAACUCAAUCCCCGGCCACAACGAACACUAGACAGAGAAUCAAGACACGAGCGUAAGCGAUCCCGUCGGUCAGGGACCCCCAGGGCUCGCUAUCUAUGAGCAACAGCGUACCUCCGAGGAAGCUCUGGCGGGCGGGCGGGCUGGCGGCUACCACGAGGCUCGGGCGGGGAAAGCUCCAAGAAGCGGAAGGAACAAAACAGCCGGAGCUGAACUCCUGUGCUGUGCUGGAACCCAGCGACCCGGCCAAAAGGAGGAAGCCAAUAGCAAGAAGCGAUCGGCCGAGCGCCGGGGUCAAAUCACAGCGGCGUCAGCGCAGAAAUGCAGUGCCGGGCGCCUUCGUCUCCCCGCGGUGGGGCAGCAGCUGAUAGAAGUGCGGGUCGGGAGCUUGGACCGCCGCUUUCGGCGGCGACUUCGCGGUGCAGCGAAGCGGAUUUGGUGGCGGUGGUGGGGGGCGGCGAUGGCGAGGAGAAGGGAAAGAGAGGAGAAAAAAAAAAGAAAGGGGAAAAGGAAGGGGGGCAGUGGCGGAGAAAGCGGAAGGGAGUGGGCGGGCCCGGCCUUUCUGUCUCUCUGUUAAUGCGGCUGUCCCACUUCGUUUGACUGGUAGGUGGGUGCCACGUUGCGUGGGCCCGGGAUGUCAGGGGAGAGGGCGGGCCAUGCCUACGUGGAGGAAGGCGACGGCGGCGAGGAAUUUUCCUUUUCUCUGCUGGGCAGGCUGGCGGGCAGGGUCUGGCUGGUGUCGGACCGGCGGCACCGGCCACGGCGCGGACGAUCAUCCUUUUCGCUGCUGCUGCCGUCAUAUUGUUGCGGGUUGUUUUCGCUGUGGACCACGCGCACGCGCGCAAGAGAGAGAGAGAAGAAGGGUGGAAAUGAUUUGAGCGUAGCUCAUAUUGUUACGGGUUUUUUAUGAGACAAGUAGGAUUCAAGUCUUAGAUUUUGCAUUGGGGUUCACAUUCUAGACUUAUAACACAUGCAGCGACAUGUGCUCUUUACUUUCGUGUUGAAGCCUCGCGUGACCUCCGCGCUCCUGAGCCCGCCGUGUGUCCACCUCAAACCCCGCCGCCUGCCACUCCGGCCGCGGCGGCCACCUCUCCCUCUCCCACGGUAUGGCUUCGGGGUCCCGCUCGUCAUCGGCGUCCGCGCGCCGUGCUGAGGAUCGUCCGGUGGUGUCGGGGUUAGGUCUUUCGUCAUCCUCGGCCUCCUCCGGCCCCCAUGAGCAGGCGGAGGUCUCAUCUCGCCUGCGUGCGGAGGUUGACGCUCGGCGGCAUGAGGCUCCAUGGGUGCAGCCGCCUCCUUCCAAGCGGUCCAAGUGGCGACGCCGCCUUGACCAAGAUCCUCGGCUGCAGCGCCAUCCUUCCCCACCUCAGCCUCGGCGCGAGGUCUCGCCGGAGAUGGCGGGCCUGUGCUUUCGCUGCUUCCAAGACGACCACUUUCGGCGCGACUGCACCAACGAAGAAGUCUGCAUCAGGUGCGGGCGCUCUGGGCAUGGAUCCCGCAACUGCGACCGCCCACGCAACCCGUCGCCGCCGGAGGUGCUGCGCCGCAUCGUUGCGGACCGGGUGGCUCGUCGGGGCGCCGGCGCGGCUUCCGCGCAAGGUUCACGGCCGGCUGGGGUCGCUGGUGCUAGUUCCAGCCGGGAGGGCUCUCUCCAACAACCGCGCCGGGGCAUGGCGCCACCACCGCCGCCGCCCCCCGCUCGUGAUGCGGCCAAUCCUGUGUGGCCCCUGCUCCAGGCGCCGCGGCUCGUUCUUCCGACGGACUCGGAGUUUGAUCCCAGGGAUGUGUGCAUCGUGCGCCGCUCUCACUCCCUGGACGAGAUGGAGAGGCGCCUGCAGCUCUCCAUGGUUGCCUAUGCCGCUGGUGCAAGGAGAGACAUUUCACCGGCGUUCAUCCUCGAGGCCCUGCAGGCCAAGGCGGGCAUCGAGGCACACUGGGUGUCGGUGCAUCGUUACCAUCCGGAGGACUUCCUCAUCGUCUUCGCCCGGCCGGAGUUCAGAAACCGGGUGUCGGCUAUGCCGACGAUCGAUCACUGCGGUGUGCGCCUCGUCUUCCGUCAGUGGAAUAGGCAAGCUCAGGCCACGCAUGCGGUGCUCCGAUUCAAGGUUCUGCUGGAGAUUGAAGGUAUCCCUCCGCAUGCUUGGGAUAGAGAAGUGGUGGAGAGGCUGCUAGAUUCAUCGUGCCUGGUGGAAUCCAUUGCACAGGAGACGGUGACCAGGGAAAAUCUUGCUUCGUUCAAGCUCUCUGCCUGGACGGCAGAGCCGGAGGCGAUCCCCACCCUGCGCUGGUUGGCGGUGCCAGAGCCAGGGCCGCAGCUUCACAUGACAGAGCCGGCUGUUUUGCAUUACAAGGUCCUGAUUCAUCUGGAUGAAGUGACUGACUUUCAGGAGGCAGACGAGCCAUGGUUCCUGGGCGGCUCCUCGGACAGCGGGCAGAGUGGCAUCCCCGACGAGGACAGCAUGGGCGGCGGCGGAGGUCCGACGACGACACGGCGACAGUGGCAGUCAGGUGUGCGGGAUGCCAGAGGUAGUUUGUCGGGAGGGCUUAGUGGAGGCGCUGCCAUGGAUGAAACUCAAAGAGGUGGCCGGAGGGCCGGCGGCCAGGACUGGCGGUUGUCACCCAUGGAGGCGCCGCCGGUGAUUCCUGUGCGAAAGUUCACCGGUGUUCGUGAUAGGAUCUCGGUCAGACCAUCUGCUUUUGACCGGCUGACGAGGAGGGUGGAGGAGGCACAUGAUAAGGAUCCGUUGGAGCGACACAGUGGGGUCACGGAAGAGCUUUUGACCAGGGAAGGAGAUCAAAACUUGAACCAGGACAAAGAGGCGCAGCUACCGAGGAGGAUUCUGGCAUCAAUCAUUACCGUGCCAUCCCCGCCUCGCGACAAAGAUGCGGGCCAGCUGUCUCUGGUGGUCGCAUCAGGUGGGGGCCUGCAGCCUCCCGUGGCUGGUCAGGAGGAGCCUGGCCUCACUCCGGUGGGAACGACGAGGCAGGAGGUCCAGGAUGCGGGGCCACCGGCAUCGGAGCAUGUUGCCGGAUGGACGGGAGUGGAUAAUUACGGGAUAGCCCCAAUCAUUGGGCAUGAGGAGACGCCCUCCCAAGACACGACGGCUGUACCCACGCGAGCUCAGCCGGGUCAGGAGAUGGGAUCGACCGGGGAGACAAUAAUUGCGUCCAGUGGAGACCAGGUGGUGGGUCCGACUGCGGGGGUAAUGAUGUUGAGGAACGUAGUAAUUUCAAAAAAUUUCCUACGCACAUGCAAGAUCAUGGUGAUGCAUAGCAACGAGAGGGGAGAGUGUUCGUCCACGUACUCUCGUAGACCGUAAGCGGAAGCGUUAUGACAACGCGGUUGAUGUAGUCGUACGUCUUCACGAUCCGACCGAUCCAAGCACCGAACGUACGGCACCUCCGAGUUCUGCACACGUUCAGCUCGAUGACGAUCCCCGGGCUCCGAUCCAGCAAAGCUUCGGGGAUGAGUUCCGUCAGCACGACGGCGUGGUGACGAUGAUGAUGUUCUACCGGCGCAGGGCUUCGCCUAAACUCCGCGACGAUAUGACCGAGGUGGAAUAUGGUGGAGGGGGGCACCGCACACGGCUAAGGAACGAUCCGUAGAUCAACUUGUGUGUCUAUGGGGUGCCCCCUACCCCCGUAUAUAAAGGAGGGAGGGGGGAGGCCGGCCGGCCCUUGUUGGGCGCGCCAGGAGGAGGAGUCCUCCUCCUAGUAGGAGUAGGACUCCUCCUUUCCUACUCCUACUAGGAGGGGAAGGAAGGGGGAGAGGAGGGGAAGGAANNNNNNNNNNNNNNNNNNNNNNNNNNNNNNNNNNNNNNNNNNNNNNNNNNNNNNNNNNNNNNNNNNNNNNNNNNNNNNNNNNNNNNNNNNNNNNNNNNNNNNNNNNNNNNNNNNNNNNNNNNNNNNNNNNNNNNNNNNNNNNNNNNNNNNNNNNNNNNNNNNNNNNNNNNNNNNNNNNNNNNNNNNNNNNNNNNNNNNNNNNNNNNNNNNNNNNNNNNNNNNNNNNNNNNNNNNNNNNNNNNNNNNNNNNNNNNNNNNNNNNNNNNNNNNNNNNNNNNNNNNNNNNNNNNNNNNNNNNNNNNNNNNNNNNNNNNNNNNNNNNNNNNNNNNNNNNNNNNNNNNNNNNNNNNNNNNNNNNNNNNNNNNNNNNNNNNNNGGUUUUCUCCGAAAUCACCCGGAACACUUCCGGUGUCCGAAUAUAGUCGUCCAAUAUAUCAAUCUUUAUGUCUCGACCAUUUCGAGACUCCUUGUCAUGUCCGUGAUCACAUCCGGGACUCCGAACAAACUUCGGUACAUCAAAACUUGUAAACUCAUAAUAAAACUGUCAUCGUAACAUUAAGCGUGCGGACCCUACGGGUUCGAGAACUAUGUAGACAUGACCUAGAACUAUUCUCGGUCAAUAACCAAUAGCGGAACCUGGAUGCCCAUAUUGGUUCCUACAUAUUCUACGAAGAUCUUUAUCGGUCAAACCGCAUAACAACAUACGUUGUUCCCUUUGUCAUCGGUAUGUUACUUGCCCAAGAUUUGAUCGUCGGUAUCCAAUACCUAGUUCAAUCUCGUUACCGGCAAGUCUCUUUACUCGUUCUGUAACACAUCAUCUUAUAACUAACUCAUUAGUUACAAUGCUUGCAAGUAUUAGGUGAUGAGUAUUACCGAGAGGGCCCAGAGAUACCUCUCCGACAAUCGGAGUGACAAAACCUAAUCUCGAAUUAUGCCAACCCAACAUGUACCUUCGAAAACACCUGUAGAGCACCUUUAUAAUCACCCAGUUACGUUGUAACGUUUGGUAGCACACAAAGUGUUCUUCCGGUAAACGUGAGUUGCACAAUCUCAUAGUUGCAGGAACUUUGUAUAAGUCAUGAAGAAAGCAAUAGCAACAUACUAAACGAUCAAGUGCUAGGCUAACGGAAUGGGUCAUGUCAAUCACAUCAUUCUCCUAAUGAUGUGAUCCCAUUAAUCAAAUGACAACACAUGUCUAUGGUUAGGAAACAUAACCAUCUUUGAUUAAUGAGCUAGUCAAGUAGAGGCAUACUAGUGACUUUAUGUUUGUCUAUGUAUUCACACGUGUAUCAUGUUUCCGGUUAAUACAAUUCUAGCAUGAAUAAUAAACAUUUAUCAUGAUAUGAGGAAAUAAAUAAUAACUUUAUUAUUGCCUCUAGGGCAUAUUUCCUUCAGUCUCCCACUUGCACUAGAAAUAAUCUAGAUUACAUAGUAAUGAUUCUAACACCCAUGGAGUCUUGGUGCUGAUCAUGUUUUGCUCGUGAGAGAGGCUUAGUCAAUGGGUCUGCAACAUUCAGAUCCGUAUGUAUUUCACAAAUAUUCUAUGUCCACAAUGCUCUGCACGGAGCUACUCUAGCUAAUUGCUCCCACUUUCAAUAUGUAUCCAGAUUGAGACUUAGAGUCAUCUGGAUUGGUGUAAAAGCUUGCAUCAUUGUAACUUUUUCGACGGGCUCUUUUAUUAUCUCCAUAAUCGAGAAACAUCUCCUUAGUCCUCACUAAGGAUAUUCUUGACCCAUGUCCAGUGAUCUACUUAUUAGAUCAAAAUUGUAUUCCUUUGCUAAACACAGAGCAAGGUAUACAAUAGGUCUGGUUCACAGCAUAGCAUACUUUAUAGAACCUAUGACUGAGGCAUAGUGAAUGACUUUUCAUUCUCUUUCUAUUUUCUGCAAUGGUCGUGUCUUGAGUCUUACUCAACUUCACACCUUGUAACACAGGCAAGAACUCCUUCUUUGGUUGUUCCAUUUUGAACUAUUUCAAAAAUUUAUCAAGGUAUGUACUCAUUGAAAAAUCUUAUCAAGCGUCUUGAUCUAUCUAUAUAGAUCUUGAUGCUCAAUGUGUAAGCAGCUUCACCGAGGUCUUGCUUUGAAAAACUCUUAUUCAAGUAUCCUUUCAUGCUAUCCAGAAUUUCCAUAUCAUUUCCAAUUAACAAUAUGUCAUCCACAUAUAAUAUUAGAAAUGCUACAGAGCUCCCACUCACUUUCUUGUAAAUACAGGCUUCUUCAAAAAGUAUGUAUAAAACCAUAUGCUUUGAUCAACUCAUCAAAGCAUAUAUUCCAACUCCGAGAUGCUUGCACCAGUCCAUAGAUGGAUCGCUAGAGCUUGCACAAUUUGUUAGCACCUUUAGGAUUGACAAAACCUUCUGGUUGCAUCAUAUACAACUCUUCUUUAAGAAAACCAUUAAGGAAUGCAGUUUUGUUUAUCCAUUUGCCAGAUUUCAUAAAAUGCGGCAAUUGCUAACAUGAUUCAGACAGACUUAAGCAUAGAUACGAGUGAAAAACUCUCAUCGUAGUCAACACCUUGAACUUGUCGAAAACCUUUUGCGACAAUUCUAGCUUUGUAGAUAGUAACAUUAUCAGCGUCCGUCUUCCUCCUGAAGAUCCAUUUAAUCUCAAUGUCUUGCCGAUCAUUGGGCAAGUCAAUCAAAGUCCAUACUUUGUUUUCAUACAUGGAUCUUAUCUCAGAUCUCAUGGCCUCAAGCCAUUUUGCGGAAUCUGGGCUCACCAUCGCUUCUUCAUAGUACGUAGGUUCGUCAUGGUCUAGUAACAUAACUUCCAGAACAGGAUUACCGUACCACUCUGGUGCGGAUCUUACUCUGUAAGACCUACGAGAUUCUGUAGUAACUUAAUCUGAAGUUUCCUGAUCAUCAUCAUUAACUUCCUCACUAAUUGGUGUAGUAGUCAUAGGAACAGAUUUCUGUGAUGAACUACUUUCAAAUGAGGGAGCAGGUAUAGUUACCUCAUCAAGUUCUACUUUCCUUCCACUCACUUCUUUCAAGAGAAACUCCUUCUCUAGCAAGGAUCCAUUCUCAGCAACGAAUGUUUUGCCUUCGGAUCUGUGAUAGAAGGUGUACCCAACAGUUUCUUUUGGGUAUUCUAUGAAGAUGCACUUCUCCGAUUUGGGUUCGAGCUUAUCAGGUUGAAAACCUUUUUCAUAUAAGCAUCGCAACUCCAAAUUUUAAGAAACGACAGCUUAGGUUUACUGCUAAACCAUAGUUCAUACGGUGUCGUCUCAACGGAUUUAGAUGGUGCCCUUUUUAAACGUGAAUGCAGCUGUCUCUAAUGCACAACCCCAAAACGAUAGUGGUAAAACCGAUAAGAGACAUCAUAGAUCGCACCAUAUCCAAUAAAGUGCGGUUACGACGUUCGGACACACCAUAACGUUGUGGUGUUCCAGGUGGCGUGAGCUGUGAAACUAUUCCACAUUGUUUUAAUUGAAGACCAAACUCGUAAUUCAUAUAUUCGUCUCCGCGAUCAUAUCGUAGAAACUUUAUUUUCUUGUUACGAUGAUUUUUCCACUUCACUCUGAAAUUCUUUGAAAUUUUUAUUUCAGACUUAUGUUUCAUCAAGUAGAUAUACCCAUAUCUGCUCAAAUCAUUUUGUGAAGGUCAGAAAAUAACGAUACUUGCCACGAGCAUCAACACUCAUUGGAUCGCAUACAUCGGUAUGUAUUAUUUCCAACAAGUCAGCAGCUCGUUCCAUUGUUCUGAAGAACAGAGUUUUAGUUAUCUUGCCCAUAAGGCACGGUUCACAAGCAUCAAAUGAUUCAUAACCAAGUGAUUCCAAAAAUCCAUCUUUAUGGAGUUUCUUCAUGCGCUUUACACCGAUAUGACCCAAACGGCAGUGCCACAAAUAAUUUGCACUAUCAUUAUCAAUUUUGCAUCUUUUAGCAUCAAUAUUAUGAUUAUGUGUAUUACUACGAUCGAGACCCAACAAACUAUUUUCAUUGGGUGUAUGACCAUCGAAGGCUUUAUUCAUGUAAACAGAAUAACAAUUAUUCUUUGACUUUAAAUGAAUAACCGUAUUGCAAUAAACAUGAUCAAAUCAUAUUCACGCUCAACGCAAACGCCAAAUAACAUUUAUUUAGGUUUAACACUAAUCCCGAAAGUAUAGGGAGUGAUGAUGAUCAUAUCAAUCUUGGAACCACUUCCAACACACAUCGUCACUUCACCCUCAACUAGUUUCUGUUUAUUCUGUAACCUCCGUUUCGAGUUACUAAUAUUUAGCAAUCGAACAAGUAUCAAAUACUCAGGGGCUACUAUAAACACUAGUAAAGUACAUAUCAAUAACAUGUAUAUCAAAUAUACCCUUGUUCACUUUGCCAUCCUUCUUAUCCACCAAAUAUUCAGGGCAUUUCCGCUUCUAGUGACCAUUUCCUUUGCAGUAUAAUCACUCAGUUUCAGGCUUUGGUUCAGCUUUGGACUUCUUCGUGGGAGUGACAACUUGCUUGUCAUUCUAGUUGAAGUUCCCUUUCUUUCCCUUUGCCCUUUACUUGAAACUAGUGAUCUUGUCAACCAUCAACACUUGAUGCUCUUUCUUGAUUUCUACCUUCGUCGAUUUCAACAUCACGAAGAGCUCGGGAAUCGUUUUCGUCAUCCCUUGCAUAAUGUAGUUCAUCUUGGAGUUCUAGUAACUUAGUGAUGGUGACUAGAGAAUUCUGUCAAUCACUAUCUUAUCUAGAAGAUUAACUCCCACUUGAUUCAAGCGAUUGAAGUAUCCAGACAAUCUGAGCACAUGCUCACUAGUUGAGCGAUUCUCCUCCAUCUUUUAGCUAUAGAACUUGUUGGAGACUUCAUAUCUCUCAACUCGGGUAUUUGCUUGAAAUAUUAACUUCAAUUCCUGGAACAUCUCAUAUAGUCCAUGAUGUUCAAAACAUCUUUGAAGUCCCGAUUCUAAGCCAUAAAGCAUGGUGCACAAAACUAUCAAGUAGUCAUCAUAUUGAGCUAGCCAAACGUUCAUAACGUCUGCAUCUGCUCCUGCAAUAGGUCUGUCACCUAGCGGUGCAUUAAGGACAUAAUUCUUCUGUGCAGCAAUGAGGAUAAACCUCAGAUCGUGGAUCCAAUCCGCAUCAUUGCUACUAACAUUUUUCAACACAAUUUUCUCUAGGAACAUAUCAAAAUAAACAUAUGAAAGCAACAUCGCAAGCUAUUGAUCUUACAACAUAAUUUGCAAAAUACUACCAGGACUAAGUUCAUGAUAAAUUUAAGUUCAAUUAAUCAUAUUACUUAAGAACUCCCACUUAGACAAACAUCUCUUGAGUCAUCUAAGUGAUCACGUGAUCCAAAUCAACUAAACCAUAACCGAUCAUCACGUGAGAUGGAGUAGUUUUCAAUGGUGAACAUCACUAUGUUGAUCAUAUCUACUAUAUGAUUCACGCUCGACCUUUCAGUCUCCGUGUUCCGAGGCCAUAUCUGCAUAUGCUAGGCUCGUCAAGUAUAACCUGAAUAUUCUGCGUGUGCAAAAUUGGCUUGCACCCGUUGUAGAUGGACGUAGAGCUUAUCACACCCGAUCAUCACGUGGUGUCUGGGCACGACGAACUUUGGCAACGGUGCAUAUUCAGGGAGAACACUUCUUGAUAAUUUUUAGUGAGAGAUCAUCUUAAAAUGCUACCGUCAAUCAAAGCAAGAUAAGAUGCAUAAAGGAUAAACAUCACAUGCAAUCAAUAUAAGUGAUAUGAUAUGGCCAUCAUCAUCUUGUGCUUGUGAUCUCCAUCUCCGAAGCACCGUCGUGAUCACCAUCGUCACCGGCGCGACACCUUGAUCUCCAUCGUAGCAUCAUUGUCGUUUACGCCAUCUAUUGCUUCUACGACUAUCUCUACCGCUUAGUGAUAAAGUAAAGCAAUUACAGGGCAUUUGCAUUUCAUACAAUAAAGCGACAACCAUAUGGCUCCUGCCAGUUGCCGAUAACUUCGGUUACAAAACAUGAUCAUCUCAUACAAUAAAAUAUAGCAUCACAUCUUGACCAUAUCACAUCACAACAUGCCCUGCAAAAACAAGUUAGACGUCCUCUACUUUGUUGUUGCAAAUUUUACGUGGCUGCUACGGGCUUAGCAAGAACCGUUCUUACCUACGCAUCAAAACCACAAUGAUAGUUCGUCAAGUUAGUGUUGUUUUAACCUUCGCAAGGACCGGGCGUAGCCACACUCGAUUCAGCUGAAGUGAGAGAGACAGACACCCGCCAACCACCUUUAAGCACAAGUGCUCGCAACGGUGAAACCAGUCUCGCGUAAGCGUACGUGUAAUGUCGGUCCGUGCCGCUUCAUCUCACAAUACCGCCGAACCAAAGUAUGACAUGCUGGUAAGCAGUAUGACUUGUAUCGCCCACAACUCACUUGUGUUCUACUCGUGCAUAUAACAUCAACGCCUAAAACCAGGCUCUGAUACCACUGUUGGGGAACGUAGUAACUUCAAAAAAUUUCAUACGCACACGCAAGAUCAUGGUGAUGCAUAGCAACGAGAGGGGAGAGUGUUCGUCCACGUACUCUCGUAGACCGUAAGCGGAAGCGUUAUGACGACGCGGUCGAUGUAGUCGUACGUCUUCACGAUCCGACCGAUCCAAGCACCGAACGUACGGCACCUCCAAGUUCUGCACACGUUCAGCUCGAUGACGAUCCCCGGGCUCCGAUCCAGCAAAGCUUCGGGGAUGAGUUCCGUCAGCACGACGGCGUGGUGACGAUGAUGAUGUUCUACCGGCGCAGGGCUUCGCCUAAACUCCACGACGAUAUGACCGAGGUGGAAUAUGGUGGAGGGGGGCACCGCACACGGCUAAGGAACGAUCCGUAGAUCAACUUGUGUGUCUAUGGGGUGCCCCUGCCCCCGUAUAUAAAGGAGGGAGGGGGGAGGCCGGCCGGCCCUUGUUGGGCGCGCCAGGAGGAGGAGUCCUCCUCCUAGUAGGAGUAGGACUCCUCCUUUCCUACUCCUACUAGGAGGGGAAGGAAGGGGGAGAGGAGGGGAAGGAAAGAGGGGGGCGCCGCCCCCCCUCCUAGUCCAAUUCGGACCAGAGGGAGAGGGGGCGCGCGGCCCUUCCUGGCCNNNNNNNNNNNNNNNNNNNNNNNNNNNNNNNNNNNNNNNNNNNNNNNNNNNNNNNNNNNNNNNNNNNNNNNNNNNNNNNNNNNNNNNNNNNNNNNNNNNNNNNNNNNNNNNNNNNNNNNNNNNNNNNNNNNNNNNNNNNNNNNNNNNNNNNNNNNNNNNNNNNNNNNNNNNNNNNNNNNGUAACCCUCCGGCACUCCGGUUUUCUCCGAAAUCACCCGGAACACUUCCGGUGUCCGAAUAUAGUCGUCCAAUAUAUCAAUCUUUAUGUCUCGACCAUUUCGAGACUCCUCGUCAUGUCCGUGAUCACAUCCGGGACUCCGAACAAACUUCGGUACAUCAAAACUUGUAAACUCAUAAUAAAACUGUCAUCGUAACGUUAAGCGUGCGGACCCUGCGGGUUCGAGAACUAUGUAGACAUGACCUAGAACUAUUCUCGGUCAAUAACCAAUAGCGGAACCUGGAUGCCCAUAUUGGUUCCUACAUAUUCUACGAAGAUCUUUAUCGGUCAAACCGCAUAACAACAUACGUUGUUCCCUUUGUCAUCGGUAUGUUACUUGCCCGAGAUUUGAUCGUCGGUAUCCAAUACCUAGUUCAAUCUCGUUACCGGCAAGUCUCUUUACUCAUUCUGUAACACAUCAUCUUAUAACUAACUCAUUAGUUACAAUCCUUGCAAGGCUUAGGUGAUGAGUAUUACCGAGAGGGCCUAGAGAUACCUCUCCGACAAUCGGAGUGACAAAACCUAAUCUCGAAUUAUGCCAACCCAACAUGUACCUUCAGAAACACCUGCAGAGCACCUUUAUAAUCACCCAGUUAUGUUGUGAUGUUUGGUAGCACACAAAGUGUUCUUCCGGUAAACGUGAGUUGCACAAUCUCAUAGUUGCAGGAACUUUGUAUAAGUCAUGAAGAAAGCAAUAGCAACAUACUAAACGAUCAAGUGCUAGGCUAACGGAAUGGGUCAUGUCAAUCACAUCAUUCUCCUAAUGAUGUGAUCCCAUUAAUCAAAUGACAACACAUGUCUAUGGUUAGGAAACAUAACCAUCUUUGAUUAAUGAGCUAGUCAAGUAGAGGCAUACUAGUGACUUUAUGUUUGUCUAUGUAUUCACACGUGUAUCAUGUUUCCGGUUAAUACAAUUCUAGCAUGAAUAAUAAACAUUUAUCAUGAUAUGAGGAAAUAAAUAAUAACUUUAUUAUUGCCUCUAGGGCAUAUUUCCUUCAAAUGAUUAUGUCGAGUGGAGGAGACCAGCUGGAUGAUAGCCUUGCCAUGCAAGCGCAUGAGGAAAGAGACAGGACAACUGGAUUAGCGGUGAUUGGCCUGCAUGCCUCGACCGGGGAGCCAUCCAUGCAAACUGAGAGCGCGAUACGUGCGGAGGAAGGCACUGAGGGGAUGACAGCCCAGGAAGCGGUGGCCUUCGGUAGGAUGAAAGCAUUCUGCUCCAGUAUCAUUAAGAGGCUUGCACCACCACUGAUCAAGGAGGUUCAGGCGACCAGCCUUCGUCCGGAGGCAGACCCUUUCACGCCAAAGAGGACCACGCGGGCCGCUAGGCGCAUGGCCAUGAGCACGACAAAGGCGUCCCCGGCGGAAACAGUACUGAUGAGAGCUUUGGGGAUUGCACCGGAGGAUCUGCAAGUGGACGAUGACACGGUGCAAGAGCUCAAAGGGCUGUUCGAUUCACCAUUACGGGAGCAGCAUGUGAGGGUCAUAGCGGCGAUCUUCGGCAAGAGCAUGCCGAGCAGGCAGGACAUGGUGAGGGCUCACGACACAGUGGUGUUGACCCACUGAUCGCACCCCUGGAGGUGGUGUGGUGUUGGAGUUCAUUGUUCCUCAAUGGAUUGCAACCCGGAAGUGCUUUGCUGGAACAUGCAGCGCAAAAAGAAAGGCCGUAAGGGAGUUCGUGGCGACAAUUCAGGUUAACUUGGUGUGUCUACAAGAGACCAAACUGCAUGUAAUUGAUCAAUUUGAUGUAAUGCAAUGCGUGGGGCCAUCUUUUGAUGGUUUUGCCUAUUUGCCGGCGUCGGAGACUAGAGGUGGCAUUUUACUUGCAUGGAACACCACAGUUAUAACGGUGGAUAAUGUGGUGCUCGACACACAUUGCAUAACUGGUAGGGUGAACACUAAGGAGGGCAACAACUGGUGGAUCACGGGGGUCUACGGGCCGCAAGGGGAUGACGAGAAGCUCGUGUUCCUGAACGAGCUAAGGGCAAGAAGGGUGGCGUGCCCUGGCCAAUGGGUUGCCAUGGGCGACUUCAACAUGAUCUUGCGCGCGAAUGAAAAGAAUAACACGAACCUAAACAGAACCACCAUGAACUAUUUCAGGAGCUUUGUGGAUGACAACGAGUUGAAGGAAAUUUAUAUGCACGGAAGGAAAUACACUUGGUCUAAUGAGAGGGAUAGUCCAACAAUGACUAAGAUUGAUCGAGUGCUUGUUUCGGUGGAUUGGGAGUUGACGUAUCCGGACUGCCUACUCUAGGCUCUCUCCAGGGGUGUAUCUGAUCACGCACCCCUUCAUAUCUCCACCAGUGCUAUGUGCAACCCUAAGAGAAGGUUCAGAUUUGAGAUCUUUUGGACCAAACUGGAAGGUUUUGAGCAGGCAAUUGCGGACGCCUGGAGGUGUGACCAAGGGAUCAUGGACCCUUUCAAACGACUUGAUGCCCUAUUUAGAAAUGCAGGAGCUGCUUUACAAUCCUGGGGACAGAGAAAGGUUGGGAACAUCAAACUGCUCAUGGCGGUCGCGCACUGGAUUAUCCUUCGACUCGAUCAGGCACAAGAAGGAAGGCUGCUAACUGCAGAGGAGCAUUGGUUACGACGAACUCUGAAGUUGUCCCUACUGGGGAUCGCAUCCCUAGAGAGAACUAUUCAACGCCAGCGCUCCCGGAUUAGAUGGUUGCAGGCAGGGGACGCCAAUUCCAAAUUGUUUCAGGCAGUGGCAAAUGGGCGAAGAACAAAGAACUUCAUCCCUCACGUAAAGAUCAAUGGGGAAAUCAUCACGGAUCAAGAGCGUAAGCAGGAAGCUUUCACUGAGGCUUACGAGAACUUGAUCGGGACUGCCAAGGCGAGGGACUGCACUCUGAAUCUUGAGUACCUGGGGAUGGAAACGCUAGACCUACAUGAUCUGGAGGGCAUGUUUACGGAGGAGGAAGUAUGGGAAGUUAUAAAGGACCUUCCGGCGGAUCGUGCUCCGGGGCCCGAUGGAUUCAUUGGUGCUUUCUACCAGAAGGCCUGGCCCCUGAUAAAACAUGAUAUCAUGGCCGCGAUGCAUAAGUUAUACGUUGGGGAUGGGCGAGGCUUUGGGAAGCUAAACAAGGCCCUGAUCGUACUAAUUCCCAAAAAGCCUGAUGCCGAGGAAAUAGGUGACUAUCGGCCCAUCAGCCUGCCCCACAGCUUCGCUAAAUUAUUCGCUAAGAUGCUGGCCAACAGGGCACGACGGAGGAUGAAGGAGAUAGUCUCUACAAAUCAAUCAGCCUUCAUUAUGGGGAGAAACCUGCACGACAACUUUCUUUUGGUCAGACAGGUCGCGAAGAGAAUAUAUGGCCGAAAGGAGAAAGGAGUUUUUCUUAAGCUUGACAUCACAAGAGCGUUUGACUCCCUGUCAUGGCCUUUCUUAUUUGAGAAGGAAAGGGUUUGGGGAUACCUGGCUGAGAUGGAUUGCAAUUUUAUUGCAGUCAGCUACCACCAAGGUGUUAGUGAAUGGUGUCCCGGGAAGGAGUUUCGCUCACGCUUGUGGAUUGAGGCAGGGGGAUCCCAUCUCUCCCCUGCUCUUUGUCAUUGCAAUGGAAGCCUUAACAGCAAUGUUCUCCAAGGCCAUGGAGGUAGGUACUAUGAGUUCUUUCAAUGGAGUUACGGCUACACAGAGGUUAUCAAUCUAUGCGGACGACGUGGCAUUGUUCAUCAGACCCACCAUGGCCGACCUAAACUUUGUGCGAGUUGUGCUGGACAUCUUUGGAGAAGCAUCCGGAUUGAAAGUCAAUUACAGAAAAUCCCUUGCUAUACUCAUCCGUGGAUCUGAGAUAGACCGCAACUGUGUGACUGGGAUUUUGCAGUGUCGCAUUGGAGACUUUACCUGCAAGUAUUUGGGAAUCCAACUGUCCAUAUCUCAGCCGACAAGGCCGGAUUGGCAGCCUAUGCUGGAUCGUGUGCAUCACUACGUCCCGACCUGACAGCAUGGCCUGAUCCAGCGGCCGGGGAGACUAAUCCUAGUCAAAUCAGUUGUCGCUGCUCGGCCGGUGCAUCACCUCAUGAUCCUGGACGCACCACAAUGGGUAUACGAAGACAUAAACACCUGGCUCAGGUCCUUCUUUUGGGCAGGAAAGGAAAAAUCUCAUGGGGGCCAGUGUCUGGUGGCGUGGAACCUGAUCUGUCGGCCGUACAACCUUGGGGGUCUGGGAGUCAAGAACCUAAAGUUACAGGCACUUGCUCUUCGAGUGCGAUGGGAAUGGCUCCGAAGAACGGAUGAAGGGCGCCCAUGGUAGGGACUGAAGCUCAUUAUCGAUGAGGAGGCACGUGAGGUCUUUGAUAGUCUAGUUUCCAUAUCAGUUGGGGAUGGCAAGAGGAUCUUAUUUUGGAAGGAUGGGUGGAUCAAUGGACGCACUGCGGCUGAAAUCGCGCCAACCAUCACAACUGUGGUACCUACUCGGAAGAAGAACACGCGCACUGUCCAUCAUGCACUUGGGGAAUGAGAUGGGAGCUUGAUAUCCCAGAUGGACUCACCUUUACGAUGCAAAUGCAGCUCUACAUGCUACAGCAGGCGAUAUCCCUGGUGGACAGGGAUGAGCAUCGACAAAUUUACCUGGCCGGCAGACAUCACAGGAGUGUAUACUGCAAAAUCAACCUACAAGCGACUGUGCAUGGGACAAACUUCCUUCGAGCCUGCAGCAUAUAUUUGGAAGUGUUGGGCGCCACUGAAAUGCAAAAUAUUCAUUUGGCUAGCGGUACAAUAUCAUGUCUGGACAUCGGACUGCAGAGCACGGCACGGCCUGCAGGACCAUGCUUCCGUGUGCUUCACUUGCAACGGAGAUGAAGAUAACAUGGAGCAUAUUUUGAUGCAGUGUGCAUACGCUCGUGAAACUUGGCACUUGAUCUUGGAGCACUACAGAAUGGACAUCCAAAACCCCACCCCACAGAACACUUUGGUGGAAUGGUGGACGGCAGCUAGGCAGAGCUUCCACAGGAGGGAGAGGAGAGGUUUUGACUCGCUCACUCUCAUCACCACCUGGUCCUUGUGGAAACAAAGGAACGCUCGGGUGUUUGGGAGAAUCGCUCAGCAGAGGAACCCAAUGCAGAUGACAUCAUUGAUGAAAUUAACGAGUGGAAGCAGCCUGGAGCAGGAGGGCUGCAUAGAUUAGAGAGAGAGUAGCUUGUAGGCUCUGUAGGUGUGGGUGUUGGUGGUGUCUCCUCGCCGUUGUUCGCAACGGUGGGAGCCUCUUGUAAAUUGACUUGCUUUCUUCUAUAAAAAUAUGGUACACCAUUGGCGUACCCUCGAAAAAAAACAUUCUAGACUUAUUUAGAUUUUUUUUGGCAAUGUCCGUUUAGUGAGACGAGAUGCUUCUGAAGCGUGUGUGGCGGCUUCAUCAAUCUCAAGAAUAUGGGUGAAUGUAUGUAUAUGUAUGUGAGCAUUUGUGGUUGUACUGUCUUUAAAAAAUACAUUCGUUGUUGCAGAAACAAAAUUGAUCCUUGUGUCGUUGGCUUUUUAUAAAGUGUGAAUUCUAGUGAUCAAAACAAAGCAUCAAGUAUACAGACGUACACAAUCAACGCUGAGAGCAAUCCUAACUGGCAUCAUCAUGUUUUACGUUUAGUUUUGUAUCAUGGGAUUAGUCAAAAUUUUACCACGCUCGCACACCUUUUUAUUGAUUUUAUCAGGAUCCUUAACGCGAGAUGCAAAGAAAAAGAAUCUUGUGAUACGGUGUGAAAAUCGUGUUAAUUUACGUGAUAAAAACAUCUCAUAAAGAGUACAAGGCAAGAACAGCAAAAAUCAGCCACAUGAGGGACUCCAUGGAAAAAGACGACGUCUAGUACGAGCACGCGCGCUCGUACCAGCUACCGCCCCCACCUCGUGAUCAACUAUUUUAACCCUGUGCCUUCAAAUUGAGAGAAUAAGCAAAACAGAGACUAGAAACUCCACCAGACUCAAGAACCCUAGCCUCUGGAAGGGAUCCGGAGAGUGGAAUCGAUACAAGGGUUUCAAUACACCAUCGUCUCGGUCAAGAGGACUACGUCAUCCGCCAUUUCCAUCUCUUUGUAAUGAAAAACCCUAGCGGAUCCUGUUCUUGUAUUACUUUGAUCGUUCAUCUAUAAUCAUCAUGAUUUAUCCUUUGGUGCUUAUCGUUCUCAUGUCCGAGUAGACUCCCUAGUUCUCGGGGAUAUGAAGGAAGCCUAGUAAGUUUAGUUGAUGAACCCCGAUAGGAUUUGAUAUCCUCUUUGUAUGUUCAUGUUAAUAACCUUCUCCAUGUUAAUUAGUUGAAGUCGAUCACCCAACAUUUACCUCUUUGGGAGAAAAGAUUAUUACCAUUGAUGUGAUUGUGGGUUUUCGGAGGUAUCGUGAUGACAUAAGCUACUUCCCUCCCUCCUAAACAUUGCAAUAGGGAUCAAUGGAGACUGUCUUUAGCUGCAUCCAUGGGAAACCCUUAAUCACUGUUCUGGAAACAGAAUGUGGGAGGAACCAUUGUGGUGUAUGUGAUGUGUAGUUGCUGCAUGUAUGCAUGCAUUUGUACUUGGCUCUGCCCACUUUUAGAAUGAUACUAUUGUUGGGGAACGUAGUAAUUUCAAAAAAAAAUCCUACGCACAUGCAAGAUCAUGGUGAUGCAUAGCAACGAGAGGGGAGAGUGUUGUCCACGUACCCUCGUAGACCGUAAGCGGAAGCGUUUAUGACAACGCGGUUGAUGUAGUCGUAUGUCUUCACGAUCGACCGAUCCUAGUACCGAACGUACGGCACCUCCAUGAUCUGGAAACGUUCGGCUCGGCGAUGUACCACGAACUCACGAUCCAGCAGAGUGUCUAGGGAGAGCUUCGUCAACACGACAGCGUGAUGACGGUGAUGAUGAAGCUACCGGCGCAGGGCUUCGCCUAAGCACUACGACGAUAUGACCGAGGUGGAUUAUGGUGGAGGGGGCACCGCACACAGCUGGAAACAAUCAACUUGUGUGUUCUAGGGUGCCCCCUGCCCUCGUAUAUAAAGGAGCAAGGCGGAGGCCGGCCGGCCUUGGGGCGCACCAAGGAGAGGGAGGAGUCCUCCUCCUAGUAGGAGUAGGACUCCCCUUUCCUAGUCCAACUAGGAAGGAGGAAGGGGAAAGGAAGGAGAGGGAGAGAGGAAGGAAAGAGGGGGAGCCGCCCCCCUCCUUGUCCAAUUCAGACUCCCAAGGGGGGGGGGGGUGGCCAGCCCUAGGCCCUCUCCUCUCUCUCCCAUAAGGCCCAUGAUGGCCCAUUAGUUCCCCCGGGGGUUCCGAUAACCCACCGGCACUCCGAUAAUUAUUCGGUGACCCCCGAAACACUUCCGGUGUCCGAAUAUAGUCGUCCAAUAUAUCAAUCUUUAUGUCUUGACCAUUUCGAGACUCCUCGUCAUGUCCAUGAUCACAUCCGGGACUCUGAACUAUCUUCGGUACAUCAAAACACAUAAACUCAUAAUACGGAUCAUCACCGAACGUUAAGCGUGCGGACCCUACGGGUUCGAGAACUAUGUAGACAUGACUGAGACACGUCUCCGGUCAAUAACUAAUAGUGGAACCUGGAUGCUCAUAUUGGUUCCUACAUAUUCUUUGAAGAUCUUUAUCGGUCAAACCGCAUAACAACAUACAUUGUUCCCUUUGUCAUCGGUAUGUUACUUGCCCGAGAUUCGAUCGUCUUAUCUCAAUACCUAGUUCAAUCUCGUUACCGGCAAGUCUCUUUACUCGUUCCAUAAUGCAUCAUCCCGCAACUAACUCAUAGUCACAUUGCUUGCAAGGCUUAUAGUGAUGUGCAUUAUCGAGAGGGCCCAAAGAUACCUCUCCGACAAUCGGAGUGACAAAUCCUAAUCUCGAUCUAUGCCAACUCAACAAGUACUAUCAGAGACACCUGUAGAGCACCUUUAUAAUAACCCAGUUACGUUGUGACGUUUGGUAGCACACAAAGUGUUCCUCCGGUAUCCGGGAGUUGCAUAAUCUCAUAGUCAUAGGAACAUGUAUAAGUCAUGAAGAAAGCAAUAGCAAUAUACUAAACGAUCAAGUGCUAAGCUAACGGAAUGGGUCAAGUCAAUCACAUCAUUCUCUAAUGAUGCGAUACCGUUAAUCAAAUGACAACUCAUGUCUAUGGCUAGGAAACUUAACCAUCUUUGAUUCAACGAGCUAGUCAAGUAGAGGCAUACUAGUGACACUCUAUUUGCAUAUGUAUCCACACAUGUAGUAAGUUUCCGGUUAAUACAAUUCUAGCAUGAAUAAUAAACAUUUAUCAUGAAAUAAGGAAAUAAAUAAUAACUUUUUUAUUGCCUCUAGGGCAUAUUUCCUUCAGUCUCUCACUUGCACUAGAGUCAAUAAUCUAGUUCACAUCGCCAUGUGAUUUAACACCAAUAGUUCACAUCACCAUGUGAUUAACACCCAUAGUUCACAUUGCCAUGUGACCAACACUCAAAGGGUUUACUAGAUUCAGUAAUCUUAGUUCACAUCGCCAUGUGAUUAACACCCAAAGAGUACUAAGGUGUGAUCAUUGUUUGCUUGUGAGAGAAGUUUAGUCAACGGGUCUGCCAUAUUCAGAUCCGUAUGUAUUUUGCAAAUUUCUAUGUCAACAUGCUUUGCACGGAGCUACUCUAGCUAAUUUCUCCCACUUUCAAUAUGUAUCCAGAUUGAGACUUAGAGUCAUCUGGAUCAGUGUCAAAACUUGCAUCGACGUAAACCUUUACGACGAACCUUUUGUCACCUCCAUAAUCGAGAAACUUAUCCUUAUUCCACUAAUGAUAAUUUUGACCGCUAUCUAGUGAUCUACUCCUAGAUCACUACUGUACUCCCUUGCCAAACUCAGUGUAGGGUAUACAAUAGAUUUGGUACACAGCAUGGCAUACUUUACAGAACCUAGGGCUGAGGCAUAGGGAAUGACUUUUAUUCUCUUUCUAUCUUCUGCCAUAGUCGGGCUUUGAGUCUUACUCAAUUUCACACCUUGCAAUACAGGCAAGAACUCCUUCUUUGACUGUUCCAUUUUGAACUUCUUCAAAAAUUUGUCAAUGUAUGUACUCAUUGAAAAAACUUAUCAAGAGUCUUGAUCUAUCUCUAUAGAUCUUGAUGCUCGAUAUGUAAGCAGCUUCAUCGAGGUCUUUCUUUGAAAAACUCCUUUCAAACUAUCCUUUUAUGCUUUCCAGAAAAUUCUACAUCAUUUCCGAUCAACAAUAUGUCAUUCACAUAUACUUAUCAGAAAGGUUGUAGUUCUCCCACUCACUUUCUUGUAAAUACAGGCUUCAUCGCAAGUCUGUAUAAAACUCAUCAAAGCGUAUAUUCCAACUCUGAGAUGCUUUGCACCAGUCCAUGGGUGGAUCGCUGGAGCUUGCACAUUUUGUUAGCACCUUUAGGAUCAACAAAACCUUCUGGUUGCAUCAUAUACAACUCUUCUUUAAGAAAUCCAUUAAGGAAUGUAGUUUUGACAUCCAUUUUCCAGAUUUCAUAAAAUGUGGCAAUUUGCUAACAUGAUUCGGAUAGACUUAAGCAUCGCUACGAGUGAGAAAAUCUCAUCGUAGUCAACACCUUGAACUUUGUCAAAAACCUUUUUCGACAAGUCUAGCUUUGUAGAUAGUAACACUACUAUCAGCAUCCGUCUUCCUCUUGAAGAUCCAUUUAUUUUCUAUGGCUUGCCAAUCAUCGGGCAAGUCAACCAAAGUCUACACUUUGUUCUCAUACAUGGAUCCCAUCUCAGAUUUCAUGGCCUCAAGACAUUUCGCGGAAUCUAGGCUCAUCAUCGCUUCCUCAUAGUUCGUAGGUUCAUCAUGGUCAAGUAACAUGACCUCCAGAACAGGAUUACCAUACCACUCUGGUGCGGACCUUACUUUGGUUGACCUAUGAGGUUCGGUAGUAACUUGACCUAAAGUUACAUGAUCAUCAUCAUUAGCUUCCUUAUUAAUUGGUGUAGGAGUCACAGAAAGAGAUUUCUGUGAUGAACUACUUUCCAAUAAGGGAGCAGGUACAUUUACCUCAUCAAGUUCUACUUUCCUCCCACUCACUUCUUUAGAGAGAAACUCCUUCUCUAGAAAGGAUCCAUUCUUAGCAACGAAUGUCUUGCCUUCAGAUCUGUGAUAGAAGGUGUACCCAACUGUCUCCUUUGGGUAUCCUAUGAAGACACAUUUCUCCGAUUUGGGUUUGAGCUUAUCAGGAGAAACCUUUUCUCAUAAGCAUCGCAACCCCAAACUUUAAGAAACGACAACUUUGGUUUCUUGCCAAACCACAGUUCAUAUGGUGUUGUCUCAACGGAUUUAGAUGGUGCCCUAUUUAACGUGAAUACAACUGUCUCUAAUUCAUAACCCCAAAACGAUAGUGGUAAAUUGGUAAGAGAGAUCAUAGAUUGCACCAUAUCUAAUAAAGUACGGUUACGAUGUUCGGACACACCAUUACACUAUGGUGUUCCAGGUGGCGUGAGUUGCGAAACUAUUCCGAAUUGUUUCAAAUGAAGACCAAACUCAUAACUCAAAUAUUCUCCUCCACGAUCAGAUCGUAGAAACUUUAUUUUCUUGUUACGAUGAUUUUCCACUUCACUCUGAAAUUAUUUGAACUUUUCAAAUGUUUUAGAUUUAUGUUUCAUCAAGUAGAUAUACCCAUAUCUGCUCAAAUCAUCUAUGAAGGUCAGAAAAUAACGAUACCUGCCGCGAGCCUCAACACUCAUCGGACUGCAUACAUUAGUAUGUAUUAUUUCCAAUAAGUCUGUUGCUCGCUCCAUUGUUCUGGAGAACGAAGUCUUAGUCAUCUUGCCCAUGAGGCAUGGUUCGCAAGCAUCAACUGAUUCAUAAUCAAGUGAUUCCAAAAGCCCAUCAACAUGGAUUUUCUUCAUGCGCUUUACACCAAUAUGACCUAAACGGGAGUGCCACAAAUAAGUUGCACUAUCAUUAUUAACUUUGCAUCUUUUGGCUUCAAUAUUAUGAAUAUGUGUAUCACUACGAUCGAGAUUCAAUAAACCAUUCACCUUGGGUGUAUGACCAUUGAAGGUUUUAUUCAUGUAAACAGAACAACAAUUAUUCUCUGACUUUAAAUGAAUAACCGUAUUGCAAUAAACAUGAUCAAAUCAUAUUCAUGCUUAACGCAAACACCAAAUAACAUUUAUUUAGAUUCAACACUAAUCCCGAAAGUAUAGGGAGUGUGCGAUGAUGAUCAUAUCAAUCUUGGAACCACUUCCAACACACAUCGUCACUUCACCCUUAACUAGCCUCUGUUCAUUCUGCAACUCUCGUUUCGAGUUACUAAUCUUAGCAACUGAACUAGUAUCAAAUACCGAGGGGUUGCUAUAAACACUAGUAAAGUACACAUCAAUAACAUGUAUAUCAAAUAUACCUUUGUUCACUUUGCCAUCCUUCUUAUCCGCCAAAUACUUGGGGCAGUUCUGCUUCCAGUGACCAGUCCCUUUGCAAUAGAAGCACUUAGUCUCAGGCUUAGGUCUAGACUUGGGCUUCUUCACUUGAGCAGCAACUUGCUUGCCGUUCUUCUUGAAGUUCCCCUUCUUCCCUUUGCCCUUUUCUUGAAACUAGUGGUCUUGUCAACCAUCAACACUUGAUGCUUUUCUUGAUUUCUACCUUCAUCGAUUUCAGCAUCACGAAGAGCUUGGGAAUUGUUUCCGUUAUUCCUUGCAUAUUAUAGUUCAUCACGAAGUUCUCGUAACUUGGUGAUAGUGACUAGAGAACUCCUGGAAGAUUAACUCCCACUUGAUUCAAGUGAUUGUAGUACUCAGACAUUCUGAGCACAUGCUUACUAGCUGAGCAAUUCUCCUCCAUCUUGUAGGCAAAGUGCUUGUCAAAGGUCUCAUACCUUUCGACAUGGGCAUGAGUCUGAAAUACUAAUUUCAACUCUUGGAACAUCGCAUAUGCUCCAUGGCGUUCAAAACGUCUUUGAAGCCUCGAUUCUAAGCUGUAAAGCAUGGUGCACUAAACUAUCAAGUAGUCAUCAUAUGAGCUUGCCAAACGUUCAUAACGUUUGCAUCUGCUCCUGCAAUCGGUCUGUCACCUAGCGGUGCAUCAAGGUCAUAAUUCUUCUGUGCAGCAAUGAGGAUAAUCCUCAGAUCACAGAUCCAAUCCGCAUCAUUGGUACUAACAUCUUUCAACUUAGUUUUCUCUAGGAACAUAUCAAAAAUAAAACACGGGAGCUAAAUGCGAGCUAUUGAUCUACAACAUAGAUAUGCUAAUACUACCAGGACUAAGUUCAUGAUAAAUUUAAAGUUCAAUUGAUCAUAUUACUUAAGAACUCCCACUUAGAUAGACAUCCCUCUAGUCAUCUAGAUGAUCACGUGAUCCAAAUCAACUAAACCAUGUCCGAUCAUCACGUGAGAUGGAGUAGUUUUCAAUGGUGAACAUCACUAUGUUGAUCAUAUCUACUAUAUGAUUCACGCUCGACCUUUCGGUCUCCAGUGUUCCGAGGCCAUAUCUGCAUAUGCUAGGCUCGUCAAGUUUAACCCGAGUAUUCUGCGUGUGCAAAACUGGCUUGCACCCGUUGUAUGUGAACGUAGAGCUUAUCACACCCGAUCAUCACGUGGUGUCUCGGCACGACGAACUUUCACAAUGGUGCAUACUCAGGGAGAACACUUAUACCUUGAAAAUUUAGUGAGAGAUCAUCUUAUAAUGAUACCGUCGAACUAAGCAAAAUAAGAUGCAUAAAGGAUAAACAUCACAUGCAAUCAAUAUAAGUGAUAUGAUAUGGCCAUCAUCAUCUUGUGCCUUUGAUCUCCAUCUCCAAAGCACCAUCAUGAUCACCAUCGUCACCGGCGCGACACCUUGAUCUCCAUCGUAGUAUCGUUGUCGUCUCGCCAACUAUUGCUUCUACAACUAUUGCUACCGCUUAGUGAUAAAGUAAAGCAAUUACAUGGCGAUUGCAUUUCAUACAAUAAAGCGACAACCAUAUGGCUCCUGCCAGUUGCCGAUAACUCUGUUACAAAACAUGAUCAUCUCAUACAAUAAAAUUUAACAUCAUGUCUUGACCAUAUCACAUCACAACAUGCCCUGCAAAACAAGUUAGACGUCCUCUAUUUUGUUGUUGCAAGUUUUACGUGGCUGCUACGGGCUGAGCAAGAACCGUUCUUACCUACGCAUCAAAACCACAAUGAUAUUUCGUCAAGUAUGUGCUAUUUAACCUUCAACAAGGACCAGGCGUAGCCACACUCGAUUCAACUAAAGUUGGAGAAACUGACACCCGCGAGCCACCUAUGUGCGAAGCGCGUCGGUAGAACCAGUCUCGCGUAAGCGUACGUGUAAUGUCGCUCUGGGCCGCUUCAUCCAACAAUACUGCUGAAUCAAAGUAUGACAUGCUAGUAAGCAGUAUGACUAGUAUCGCCCACAACUCACUUGUGUUCUACUCGUACAUAUAACAUCUACGCAUAAACCUGGCUCGGAUGCCACUGUUGGGGAAUGUAGUAAUUUCAAAAAAAUUCCUACUCACACGCAAGAUCAUGGUGAUGCAUAGCAACGAGAGGGGAGAGUGUUUUCCACGUACCCUCGUAGACCGUAAGCGGAAGCGUUAUGAAAACACGGUUGAUGUAGUCGUACGUCUUCACGAUCGACCGAUCCUAGUACCGAACGUACGGCACCUCCGCGAUCUGCACACGUUCGGCUCGGUGACGUCCCACGAACUCAUGAUCCAGUAGAGUGUCGAGGGAGAGCUUCGUCAGCACGAUGGCAUGAUGACGGUGAUGAUAAAGCUACCAGCGCAGGGCUUCACCUAAGCACUACGACGAUAUGGCCGAGGUGGAUUAUGGUGGAGGGGGCACCGCACACGGCUAGAAACAAUCAACUCGUGUGUUCUAGGGUACCCCCUGCCCCCGUAUAUAAAGGAGCAAGGGGGAAGGCCGGCCGGCCUUGGGGCGCGCCAAGGAGAGGGGGGAGUCCUCCUCCUAGUAGGAGUAGGACUCCCCUUUCCUAGUCCAACUAGGAAGGAGGAAGGGGAACGGAAGGAGAGGGAGAGAGGGAGGAAAGAAGGGGCGCCACCCCCCCUUCUUGUCCAAUUCAGACUCCCAAGGGGGGGGCGCGGCGCGGCCAGCCCUAGGCCCUCUCCUCUCUCUCCCAUAAGUCCCAUGAUGGCCCAUUAGUUCCCCCGGGGGUUCCGAUAACCCCCCGGCACUCUGAUAAUUAUCCGGUGACCCCCGGAACACUUCUGGUGUUCAAAUAUAGUCGUCCAAUAUAUCAAUCUUCACGUCUCAACCAUUUCGAGACUCCUCGUCAUGUCCGUGAUCACAUACGUGACUCCGAACUAUCUUCAGUACAUCAAACACACAUAAACUCAUAAUACCGGUUGUCAUCGAACAUUAAGCGUGCGGACCCUACGGGUUCGAGAACUAUGUAGACAUGACGGAGACGCGUCUCCGGUCAAUAACCAAUAGUGGAACCUGGAUGCUCAUAUUGGUUCCUACAUAUUCUACGAAGGUCUUUAUCAGUCAAACCGCAUAACAACAUACCUUGUUCCCUUUAUCAUCGGUAUGUUACUUGCCCGAGAUUCGAUCGUCUUAUCUCAAUACCUAGUUCAAUCUCGUUACCGGCAAGUCUCUUUACUCGUUCCGUAAUGCAUCAUCCCGCAACUAACUCAUAGUCACAUUGCUUGCAAGGCUUAUAGUGAUGUGCAUUAUCGAGAGGGCCCAAAGAUACCUCUCCGACAAUCGGAGUGACAAAUCCUAAUCUCGAUCUAUGCCAACUCAACAAGUACUAUCAGAGACACCUGUAGAGCACCUUUAUAAUAACCCAGUUACGUUGUGACGUUUGGUAGCACACAAAGUGUUCCUCCGGUAUCCGGGAGUUGCAUAAUCUCAUAGUCAUAGGAACAUGUAUAAGUCAUGAAGAAAGCAAUAGCAAUAUACUAAAUGAUCAAGUACUAAGCUAACGGAAUGGGUCAAGUCAGUCACAUCAUUCUCUAAUGAUGCGAUACCGUUAAUCAAAUGACAACUCAUGUCUAUGGCUAGGAAACAUAACCAUCUUUGAUUCAACGAGCUAGUCAAGUAGAGGCAUACUAGUGACACUCUGUUUGUCUAUGUAUCCACACCUGUACUAAGUUUCCGGUUAAUACAAUUCUAGCAUGAAUAAUAAAACAUUUAUCAUGAAAUAAGGAAAUAAAUAAUAACUUUGUUAUUGCCUCUAGGGCAUAUUUCCUUCAACUAUCUCUCCAACGAAUCGAUGAUUUUUGCAUGAUUCGUGCUAUAUUGCUAUCAACUUUAAACAAUUUUGAAAUGAAUUUUAUGAAUUUAUUGCACUAACAUAUUAAUUCAAUGCCCAGUGCUAGCUCAUAUGUUUUGCUAUUGUGUUUCAAAAAUACUCAAAAAAAGUCCCUGAAAAAAAUCCAAAAAAUGUGAUUCAGAAGUUUCGAGAACAGGAGGACACCUAGAGACUGGGGCCCACACCAGAGGCUACCCCAGUGCCUAGGUGCAUAUGGCCUGUGGGGGGCUGGCUGGCCUUCGGUGCCCCAUGGUCCAUAUAUACCCCCAUUUGCACACCCUAAUGGUCGAGAAAUUUUCCAUCACCGCCACAUUGCGUUUUUGAGGUGAUCUUCAUUUUCAACCGUGAUCUGGACCUCUAUCGGAGGGGGGAAUUCAUCUCCAUCUUCAUCAAACUCGAUCAUCGUGCUCCAAGAUGAGUUGCGAGUAGUACAUCCCCGGAUAUCAGUAGCCAAUGUUGUAAUCUCUCCUCCUAGAUGUAUUUUCCAUGUUUAAUACAAUAACUACAUAAGCUACCCUACAUGAUUGUAGUUUACCAAAUGAGUUUAUGGUGGUGAUGUAGAUUAUGAGUAAUGGAUUAAUUAUAUAUGUUCAAAAAAUUUCAUGAUUCAUAUUUGAUAUAUGGAUGCAUAUUUCCUUCUGGAUGCAUGUAUUCUCUUGGCCAACUUAGAUUGCUAGCAUUGUGGAAGUGGUGCACAUUAGUUUGGUUCAAGAGUUACAAGUAAUCUACAAUAGUGACAAAAAAAUGAAAAAGUCUUGCAAGAAUUGUUGCCACUGAGGGUUGAGGAUUAGUAGAGGAUGAAUAAUUCCCUAAUCAUAACAGUAUGUCAUCAUUCUAAAUACAAUUACCCAUGUUUACACUUAAUGUCUAGAUGUUGCAAAGUAUCUCCAUAUGGGAUAUUUACCUAAAGAUGGAGAUUGAUUCGAUCUUUAGUAUUAUGGACGUACCUCAGUGGCAGUCUCCCCUUUGUCGUUUCCCUCGCUCCUGGCACUGCAGAUGGAGCCACUCAAUAUUCCAUGGAUUUGGUUUUCCGUGCUGGAAGAGUUACACCCCCUGUAGGUGAAGUUGUGGAGGGAGCGAGCGAUGGAGAUGAAGCCAUUCAAUACACCACCAAUAUAGUCAGUCACAACGGAGGAUACAGAUGGUUUGUAGUUGAAGCUGUGGAGGAAACGGACGAGACGGAUCUGCAAUGACGUGUUCACCUAGAUGGAGUUGAUGCAGGAGCUGCAUGAGACACGUGCACUCGCCCGCGAUAAACCGAAAUCUAAGAGACCGGCUGCAGAGGGAGAUCAGUGAUGACCCACAAGUAUAAGAGAUCACAACAAUCUUCAAGGAUAGUAUUUCACCCAAAUUUAUUGAUUCGGCACAAGGGGAGCCAAAGAAUAUUUAUAAGCCUUAGCAGUUGAGUUGUCAUAAUUCUAUGUUUCAUGCUAUGGUUAGAUUUUUCUUAAUUUUCCUUCCGUAGUUGAGGAUGCUCGCGAGAGGGGGUAAUCAUAAGUGGGUUGCUUGUUCAAGUAAGAACAACACCCAAGCACUGAUCCACCCACAUAUCAAUUAUCAAAGUAGCGAGCGUGAAUCAACUAAACAUGAUGAACGUGACUAGAUGACAAUUCCCAUGUGUCCUCAAGAACGUUUUCUUUAUAUAAGAAAACAUUCCCGCUUGUCCUUUGAUAUAAAAAGGAUUGGACCACCUUGCUGCACCUUCGUUAACAUUGUUACUUGUUACUUGUUACGAAUUGUCUUGCUACAAAACUAUCUAUCACUGCUUCUUUUAGUACUUGCGAAAAUACCUUGCUGAAAAUCACUUAUCAUUUCCUUCUGCUCCUCGAAAGGACUACAGUUGAUCCCCUAUACUUGUGGGUCAUCAGUAUGGCACACCGCCGCCACUCGAUCAACUAUUUUUACCCCCGUCGAAUCUGAUCAUGGAUCAGACGCUCACAGACACCAGAAACUCAUCCAGAAGACAGAAUCCUAGCCUCUGGAGUUCAUCUAGAGGAGGCAUUAGCAAGGAGAAGGAGUGGAUCCUUCCCACCGCGAGGAAGAGGACAACAUCAUCACCACUAUCCUCGUCAUCCACUUUAUCAUCAUCAUCAUCCACAUCCUUAUGACCUGCAACAUCAAGAACCCUAGUGGAUCCUUCGGUGUAUCAUUUUAACCACUCAUCCAUGUAUUCCAUUACCAUUGCUAGAUGUUUGUUGUCCUCAUGUGUGAGUAGACCACAAGUUCUCGGGGAUAUGGAUGAACCUUGGUAUAUGUAGGAUAUGAAACGUUAUUGUGGAUAUGAGAUCCCUUGCUGAAUGCUUAGUUUAAUACCUUCAUGAAUGUUGUGAAGGGGCCCCACUUAGCAUUUGUGUCUUGUGGCUGUAAUAUCCCAAAUUUUCUAAAUUUGUAAUGUUAAAAGAAUCAUAUGCAUAUCAUAUAUUUUCUUUGCAUUUUGAGCUUUAUUUGACUUGAUUCAAAACUUUGUGAAACUCAAUGAUUCUUUGAGAGAAGAAAACAUGACUUCUCCGAUGUGUAAAAAGAGAGAGCUGGGAGUUUAUUUGAAUCAAAUUUGAAAGUUGGAUCAAAGUUGGAAUUUAAAUUCUUUUCUCCAUCUACUCAAAUAUAAUCAAGAGAGAAGAUAAAAGGACUUCUUCAAAAUAAGCGAGUUGGAGAAAGAUUUUAAAUACUAACGGUAAUUUUGUUAAUUUUGUUGUAUAGAUUGGAAAGUAAAGAUUGCAAAAUAAACGGCGACAGAAAUAGCUAGUUGAUGGGAGAUUAAUAUGAUGGAAAAUAGACCCGGGGGCCAUAGGUUUCACUAGUGGCUUCUCUCAAGAUAGCAAAUUCUACGGUGGGUGAACAAAUUACUUCAAGCAAUUGAUAGAAAAGCGCAUAGUUAUGAGAAUAUCUAGGCAUGAUCAUGUAUAUAGGCAUCACGUCCGUGACAAGUAGACCGAAACAAUUCUGCAUCUACUACUAUUACUCCACACAUCGACCGCUAUCCAGCAUGCAUCUAGAGUAUUAAGUUCAUAAGAACAGAGUAACGCAUUAGGUAAGAUGACAUGCUGUAGAGCGAUAAACUCAAGCAAUAUGGUAUAAAACCCAUCUUUUUAUCCUCGAUGGCAACAAUACAAUACGUGCCUUGCUUCCCCUGUUGUCACUGGGAAAGGACACCACAAGAUUGAACCCAAAGCUAAGCACUUCUCCCAUUGCAAGAAAGAUCAAUCUAGUAGGCCAAACCAAACUGAUAAUUCGAAGAGACUUGCAAAGAUAUUAAAUCAUGCAUAUAAGAAUUCAAAGAAGAAUCAAAUAUUGUUGAUAGAUAAUCUUGAUCAUAAACCCACAAUUCAUCAGAUCUCGACAAACACACCGCAAAAAGAAUUACAUCAAAUAGAUCUCCAAGAAGAUCGAGGAGAACUUUGUAUUGAGAUCCAAAGAGAGAGAAGAAGCCAUCUAGCUAAUAACUAUGGACCCGAAGGUCUGUGGUAAACUACUCACACAUCAUCGGAGAGGCUAUAUAUGGUGUUGAUGUAGAAGCCCUCCGUGAUUGAUUCCCCCUCUGCGGAGCGCCGGAAAAGGCUCCAAGAUGGGAUCUCAUGGGUACAGAAGGUUGUGGUGGUGGAAAUAGGGUUUCUGGUGCUCUCGGAUGUUUUCAGGGUAUAUGAGUAUAUAUAGGCAAAAGAAGUAGGUUGGUGGAGCCACGAGGGGCCCAUGAGGGUGGGGGGCGCGCCUACCCCCUGGGCGUGCCUCCCUACCUCGUGGCCUCCUCGUUGCUUCCUUGACGUCCACUCCAAGUCUCCUGGAUUGCGUUUGUUCCAAAAAUGAUCCUCGCGAAGGUUUCAUUCCGUUUGGAUUCCGUUUGAUAUUCCUUUUCUCCGAAACACUGAAAUAGGCAAAAAAACAGCAAUUUGCACUGGGCCUUAAGUUAAUAGGUUAGUCCCAAAAAUAAUAUAAAAGUGCAUAAUAAAGCCCAUUAAACAUCCAAAACAGAUAAUAUAAUAGCAUGGAACAAUAAAAAAUUAUAGAUACGUUGGAGACGUAUCACCCCGGUAUCGUAUCAUCCCACUAUCCUUUUGCUUUUACUUAUCUUAGUUCGAUCUUUUGCUUAGAUAAAUAAAGUUUAGUUCGAUCCUUUCUUCUUUGAGAGUUUGCUUAGUGAUCUAUCAUUGUAAUCGUGUGCAAGUUAUAUAAUAAAGUUAGUUUGUGUUUUCACUUUCUUUACUUUUAUGUUGCAAAUAAAGCAAAGAAAUAAAAAUAGAAAAAGAGAAAGAAAGCAAAUAAGAGAAGGAAAUAAGUCAACAAGAUCAUAUACUAAUCCUAUGGUAGGUGAUAGCACCACAUAAGGAAAAGUAUAAGUAAGAAAAUUUUAUUAGAGUUUGACAAACAAAGCUUUAGUCAGUGAUGCAACUCAAGAAAGAAUUAAUAAGGGAAGGGAAGAUUCACAUAUAAAUAUACUAUCCUAGAAAUCUUUUGUGAUUGUGAGCCCUCAUCGAAAUAUUAUAUGCCAAAAUUGUUGACGUUGGACAAGGAAGACAACAUAAUGGUUUAUAUAUGUUUAUAUUCACAAAGAAGUCAUAUUGUCAUAGAUCCUUUAACAUGUGAUGCUUGCCCCCUAUCUUUGCUUGCCAAAAUUCUACACUAAGUAGAGAUACUACUUGUGCAUCCAAAACCUUUAAACCCAAAUCUUUUUCAAGUGUCCACCAUACCUACCUAGGGAUUGAGCAAGAUCCCUCAAGUAAGUUGUCAUCGGUGCAAAAAGGCAAUAAAAUUGCUUCUAAAUGUGUGAGAUUGUUUAGUGCAAGAGAAAAUUGAGCGUUGCACGAACUUGGAUGACAGAGAAUAAAAGCGACAGACUACAUAAUAAAGAUUGUCAUCUUAAGGGGCAAUGUAACGUGACGUUCUUUUGCAUUAAGGGAUUGAGCAUACAAACAAAUAAACGCAUGGCAACCUCUGCUUCCCUCUACGAAGGGCCUAUCUUUUACUUUUAUGUAUUUACUUUUAUGCAAAGAGUUAAAGUUUUCCUUCUAUUCCUUUUAUUUUUCUCUUUUGGCAAGCAUCUUGUGGUGAGGAAAGAUCUAGGCACAUAUGUCCAGUUGAAUAUAGAUAGCAUGAGUUAUUAUUGUUGACAUCACCCUUGAGGUGAGUAUGUUGGGAGGCGAAACUAUAAGCCCCUAUCUUUCUAUGUGUCCGGUUGAAACGUUUUUCUCAUGUGUAUGCGGUGAGUGUUAGCAAUCAUAGAAGACUAUAUGAUAGUUGAGUAUGUGGACUUGCCUAAAGGCUCUGACACGUGACCCUUCCUGAAAAGAUGAUGAAUUUUAGUUGCAAGGUUGACUGAGGACAUAGUUUAUUGGUUUCUAAUGGAGUUUUUGCUUUAUACUUCGAUUAUGUGAUGAACUGUUACUUAUUCAUGGGAAGUGUAUGAUAAAAGUUCUAUGAUGAAAGGUUUAUGUUUAAAUUUGUUGAUGUUAUAAUAAUCGGCAUGAUGCUUCUAUGUUUGUAUUUUGUUUUUUUCGACACCUCUCUCUCAAAGCAUGUGGACCCACUUUUCGAUUUCGGUUUUCGCUUGAGGACAAGCGAGGUCCAAGCUUGGGGGAGUUGAUACGUCCAUUUUGCAUCAUGUUUUCUUACUGUUAUUUACAAUGUUUUUAUCCAAAAUAAUACUUUUUGGAGUAAUUCUAAAGCCUUUUCUCUCUUAAUUUGCAAGGUGCACACCAAGAGGGAGAAUUCCGACAGCUGGAAAUCUGGACCUGAAAAAGCUACGUUAGGCCACCUAUUCUGCACAACUCCAAACAAGCUAAAACUUUACGGAGAAUUUUUUUGGAUUAUUUAAGAAAUAUUGGAGCCAGUAACUACUAGAGGGGGGCCACCAGGUGGGCACAACCCACCUGGGCGCGCCAGGCCCCCCAGGUAUGCCCUGGUGGGUUGUGGCCUCCUCGGCCCACCUCUGGAGCCCAUCUUCUGGUAUAUAAGUCAUUUUUACCUAGAAAAACUAAGGAGAGGACUUUUGGGGCGGAGUGCUGCUGUCUCGAGGCGGAACUUGGGCAGGAGCACUUUUGCCCUCCGGCGGAGCGAUGCUGCCGGGGGAACUUCCCUCCUGGAGGGGGAAAUCAUCGUCAUCAUCAUCACCAAUAACUCUCCCACCUUGGGGAGGGCAAUCUCCAUCAACAUCUUCACCAGCACCAUCUCACCUCAAACCCUAGUUCAUCUCUUGUAUUCAAUCUUGUUACCGGAACUAUAGAUUGGUGCUAGGGGGUGACUAGUAGUGUUGAUUACAUCUUGUAGUUGAGUACUAUAUGGUUUAUUUGGUGGGAGAUUAUAUGUUCAGAUCCAUGAUGCUAUUUAAUACUCCUCUGAUCAUGAACAUGUUUACUAUUUGUGAGUAGUUACUUUUGUUCUUGAGGUCACGGGAGAAAUCAUGUCGCAAGUAAUCAUGUGAACUUGAUAUGUGUUCGAUAUUUUGAUAGUAUGUAUGUUGUGAUUCCCUUAGUGGUGUCAUGUGAACGUCGACUACAUGACACUUCACCAUAUUUGGGCCUAAGGGAAUGGACUGUGGAGUAGUAAAUAUAUGGUGGGUUGCGAGAGUGACAGAAACUUAAACCCCAGUUUAUGCGCUAUUCCGUGGGACCGAUUGGAUCCUAGAGUUUAAUGCUAUAGUUAGAAUUUAUUCUUAAUACUUUUCUCGUAGUUGCAGAUGCUUGCGGGAGGGUUAAUUAUAAGUAGGAGGUUUUUUCAAGUAAGAACAUCACCUAAGCACCGGUCCACCCACAUAUCAAAUUAUCAAAGUAGCGAACACGAAUUAAACCAGCAUGAUGAAAGUGACUAGAUGAAAUUCCCAUGUACCCUCAAGAACACUUUGCUUAUUAUAAGAGACCAUUUUGGCCUGUACUUUGUCUCAAAAGGAUUGGGCUACCUUCCUGCAUACUUAUUGUUACUAUCGUUACUUGCUCGUUACGAAUUAUUUUGCUAUCAAACUACUCGUUACUUAUAGUUUCAGCACUUGCAGACAUUACCUUACUGAAAACUACUUGUCAUUUCCUUCUGCUCCUCGUUGGGUUCGACACUCUUAUUUAUCGAAAAGAGCUACAAUUGAUCCCCCGUACUUGUGGGUUAUCAAGGCUAUUUUCUGGCGCCGUUGCCGGGGAGUGAAGCACCUUUGGUAAGUGGAAUUCGGUAAGGAAACAUUUAUAUAGUGUGCUGAAAUUUAUUGUCACUUGCUACUAUGGAAAACAAUCCUUUGAGGGGUUUGUUCGGGGUAUCUUCACCUCGUUCGGAACCACAAUUAAUUGCCCCUCAACCUACUACACCUACUAAAAAUAUCUAAUAUGAAAUUCCUUCGGGUAUGAUAGAACAACUGCUAGCUAAUCCUUAUGCAGGAGAUGGAACCGAACAUCCUGAUAUGCACUUGAUAUAUGUAGAACAAAUUUGUGGAUUGUUCAAGCUUGCAGGUCUACCCGGAGAUGAGGUGAUGAAAAAGGUUUUCCCUUUAUCUUUGAAGGGAAAAGCAUUAGCAUGGUAUAGGCUAUGCGAUGAUAUUGGAUCAUGGAAUUGGAAUCAUUUAAAAUUGGAGUUCCACCAAAAAAAUUAUCCUACGCAUCUAGUUCAUCGUGAUCGGAAUUAUAUAUAUAACUUUUGGCCUCGUGAAGGAGAAAGUAUCGCUCUAGCUUGGGGGAGGCUUAAGUCAAUGUUAUAUUCAUGCCCCAACCAUGAGCUCUCAAGAGAAAUUAUUAUUCAGAACUUUUAUGCUCGGCUUUCUCGUAAUGAUCAAACCAUGCGAGAGACUUCUUGUGCUGGUUCUUUUUUGAAGAAAACAAUUGAAUUCCGGUGGGAUCUUUUGGAAAGAAUUAAACGCAACUCUGAAGAUUGGGAACUCGAUGAAGGUAAAGAGUCAGGUAUAAAGCUUAAGUAUGAUUGUGUUAAAUCUUUUAUGGAUAUCGAUGUUUUUCAAAAGUUUAGCACUAAAUAUGGACUUGACUAUGAGAUAGUAGCCUCCUUUUGUGAAUCAUUUGCUACUCAUGUUGAACUCCCUAAAGAGAAGUGGUUUAAAUAUCACCCACCUAUUAAAAAUGAAAUUAAAGAACCGGUACCAGUUAAAGAAGAAACUAUACUUUAUAAUGUUGAUCCAGUUGUUCCUACUGCUUAUAUUGAGAAACCACCUUUUCCUGUCAGGAUAAAGGAACAUGCUAAAGUUUCAACUGUGGUUAACAAAAGAUAUGUUAGAACACCUAAACCAGAUGAACAAAUUAGAGUUGAACCUAAUGUUGCUAUGGUUAAAGAUCUCUUAGAAGAAGAUGUGGAUGGGCAUGUUAUUUACUUCUGUGCAGAAGCUGCUAGAAUUGCUAAACCCGAUGAAAGGGAUAAACAUAGACCAGUUGUUGGCAUGCCUGUCAUUUCAGUUAAAAUAGGAGAUCACUGUUAUCAUGGUUUAUGUGACAUUGGUGCUAGUGUGAGUGUUGUUCCUUACACUUUAUAUCAAGAAAUUAAGAAAGACAUAGCACCUGUAGAGAUAGAAGACAUAGAUGUCACUAUUAAACUUGCUAAUAGAGACACCAUAUCACCUUGUGGGAUUGUUAGAGAUGUUGAAGUCUUGUGUGGGAAAAUAAAAUACCCUACUGAUUUUCUUGUUCUUGGUUCAUGUUCAAAUGAAUUAGGGGUUUAUUUCUUAGGCAUGUGCUAGUAGUUAGUGGAUUCGACGGGAUUAGAUAGGAUUCUAGUAAAUCCGAUUGGAUGCGAUCCCAAUCGAAUUCAAUCAGACCGAUCUGUUCUUGUUUCGUACAGUGUGUGUCCUAGGAUAAUUUUCUUCUGCUACUGUUAGUGUGUCCUAGGAUCUGUGUUCAUGCUAGUAGCUGUGUUCAUGCUAGAAUCCCCAAUGGUAGUGUGCUUUGCUAGGAUCUGUGUUCAUGGUAGGGUCUUGCUAGGAUGUGUGUUCAUGCAAAUGGCAUGUUCAUGUUCAAGCUAGGAUCAUGUUCAUGUUGUUGUUCAUGUUGCUACAUACAUGUUCAAGCUAGGGGUUGUGUUGAUUGUUAUACGUUCAUGUAGUAGGACCAUUUUAGGAUGCUGCCAAAUGUGCAUGGGUGCACAUGGGUGCUAUUGACACUUGCUGUUGCUAUUUUUAGACGUUUCCAUGCUUAGGAUAGUGCACUGAUGAAUGGCAGUUGUAGAAAAGCAGAUGCCACUGAUCAGUGGCAUUUGCUCAUGGGCAACUACCAUUAAUCAGUGACACUUGCUGUUGGUAAAGUCCACUGAUCAGUGGCAUUUUCCCAAUAGCAAGUUCCAUUGAUCAGUGGCAUUUGAUCAUAGAGUUUGUGCACUAAUCAGUGGCAUUUGCUCUUAGGCAAAUAUCUCUGAUCAAUGCCAUUUUGCAAAGAGUUUGUGCACUAAUACUUGUCAUCUUACCUGACAAGAUAAUGAAGACUGACUGGGAUGUGGCGGAUGGAGGAGCUCAGGUGGUGGCCGGAGCUAAGGGCGCCGAGGAUUUCAUCCCCAUGAAUAGGUGGCUCAGGACGGUGGACCUGCCUAGCAGGAUCGCCUUCAUGAGGCUGCCUCGUUCAAGGGGACGAUCUCUGAGGCAGGGCCAUGAGGAGGGGGCCCGGGAGCCGCUGCGCUUCUACCAGCAGAUCAAGGACAAUGAGGACCUCGCCAUGCUCGUCGUCCCUCGCCAUGCUCGUCGUCCGUUGCAAGUUCGUGGAGGUGAUGAACACCUGGCUGGUCAUCAAGCGGCUAGCUCCCGCGCGUGGUCAGGCUAUCGGCGAACAAGCGGUGCGUGUUCUGGGUACAGGUCCAGAAAUUCAAGGGGCACAUGGUGCUUGGACGAGGCUGGAACUACUUCUGCCGCCGCCACCGGAUCGUCCCCGACGACCUCGUCAUUAAGCGCAUCUCAGGACUCGGACUGAAGGUUCAGAUCUACAACCACAACUCCUCGGUCAUGUGUAGGUUUCGUUGCAGCAGUCACAACUGCGUUGGUGACAUCGAGCAUGCUAUGUAGUUAAGUUAAGUAAGGGUUAGUGUUGAACUUUUAUGGUGUGUGGCGGGACUUGUGCUGGGAACUUGUUCAUAUUUUGGCCAGGAGCAGCACCCUGGCAUGGAGCAGGGAAGGAGGAUGCCCCUGCUGUUAAUCUAGACUUAUGCUAUGUAGUUAAGUAGUUUGUUGUCAUUUCCUUGCUUGUUGUGUUUGAUUUCAUUUGGUUGUUUGCUUUGUUUGAUCUUGCUGUUGUGCUGAUCAUGUGGUGGUAAGGCCACCACAUUUGAACGGGGUGAGCAGAACACAAGCGCUGUUUGCAACCAAAUAGAUUAAGUUUGCAUCUGCUCACACCCUAAGCACAAAAACGGCAACCAAACAGCAGGGGGGUAAGUGCCCCUCCAUGCGAGGCAACCAAACAGGUUGCAUCUGCUGCAUAUGAGGCUGCAUUUCAAGAACCAGGCUGGCUGGAGAUGGACAUGCAAUACAACUACUGUUGCAAACUGCAACCAAACACGCCGAGAGUUGCCAAAAAUGACAACUUACUUUUUUUUGGUUGAUUCCAACUAUUUGCAUGUAAAGGCUAUUGAAUUAUACCAUUAAUCCGAAUAUGAUUAGCUAAAUGUAUUUAUUUAUCUUUUUCGAGAUGAAAAGGUUACUUGUUCCUCAUAUCUUCGUACCAGAAUGUUUGUCAUUCACCCCUACCCAUUGGCGCCCUCCUCUCGUGCUCCCUUUUCUUAGGGGUAAAACCAUUCUAAUUUUUGUCCCUAUUUUUCAAAAGGCAUCGGGAAUUGUUGAUGCAACGACAUGCUGAAUACAAUCCGAUGGAAUAUGAAACAAACCUUACAGAGUUGAUUGCUUCCAUUUGCUGAUCUCCUCGGUCCUCACCCAUUUGAUCUUGUGGUCAUCACAAGAUUUGAGCAUGCCCUGGAUUUCUUCAACAACCGGCCCAUCUGCACAGAGGAUUUUUGCUAUCGUUUUUUUUUGCGAGAAAACUUCCGAUCUAUUCAUCAACUGUCAAGGUAGUACAAGGAACAUCAUAAGUAAAAAUUACAUCCAGAUCCGUAGGCCACCUAGUGAUGACUACAAGCACUAGGCGAGCCGAAGGCAUGCCAAUCAUGCUUACCAUGCUUCUACAGAUAUGGUGUCAUGCAAAGUACUCCCUACUAGUUUCAAAAAAUGUCUUACAUUAUGGAACGGAGAUGAUACAUUAGAGGUGAGCCCAUGCUCGACAUGGAGGGCCUUUGGCCCUUGAGAGGGAGGGCUAGCUUUGCAUAAAGGGUGCAUGAUUCAAAUACAAUGACCCGAAGGGAAACCGAGACAACUUUUUGGUCCUGGUGCCUGUUGGUUUUCACUUUUUAUCAUGAUUCUAGAGAAGAUGGAUUCAACUACUCGGACUUAUGGCAUUUAUUUAACGUAAAAAAACUAGACAUGACCUUUUCCAAUCCAAAGAGGCCAGGCGCAUUAAGGCAGACGUUGAUUUCAUCGAUCCGUGUCCUUGUUGGCGGUGUCCGGAUCCGGAUCUGGGAGUCGGAGCUCAUCGCGCAUGUCCUAGUUUUACCAUGGGACACGGGUGAGUUGCCGAGCGAGAGCUCCGCGCUUUGGCACCAUUGACGGCAACGCCUGCGGGCACCACUAUCUUCAGGAGUGCCUUUGCACCUGGUACCAGCUCAAAAAAGGAAAAACUAUGUUUUUGUUACUCUAGUUUUUGCCCACUUUAUUUAUACCACUCUAGUUUUUGCCUACUAUGUUUAUACCAUUCUAGAAUUUGACAUCUCAUUUUUACACUCUUGGCUUUUGACAAUGUAUCACAAAUGCUAUUUGUGGCAAAAGCAAAAAAAAAACAUUUCACUUGCGACACUCUCAGCUUUUGACAAUGCACAAUUGCCAAGAGUGACAAAAGUGAAAUGUGAACAAUCUAAAGUGGCAUAAACAAAGUGGGCAGAAAGUAGAGUGACAAAAACAACCCUCCCAUGCAUUUACCGUAUCUUGCCGUCCCAUGCAGAUAUGCAUUUGUCUUGUUUGAGUUUCUUAUUAUUAUACUAAAUAAAAAGGCCGCACAUUGAUUGCUUUUGUCUCUCAGCUACAUAGAUCACGUGUGUAGGAGUGUAUCCCUGUCCCACAUGGAUGGAUAAUUUUAUUCGAGCUCACGUUGCAUCUCACCCUCCCUAUCCACACAGAGUCAGCCAGCGUGCACCUCGGGCUUCUUCCCAAAUCAUACUGUAAUAAGCUGAGGGUGUCUUUUUUGCAUGGUAUAAAGCUGAGGGUGUUGUUGUGUCUCAGUUGUUCAUUACGGAGUAAGUAUCUUUUAGGAACAGCGUUUAUACGAAAAAUCCUGCAGAGAGUGGUCCCGAAAGCGAGGCAGGCGCUAGGGUUUCCCCCGCUCCCCUCCCGCCGCCGUCGGCCGUCGGCCCCGCCCCCCGCCUCCGCCCCCCCUUCCGCCCUCCCCCUCCUCCGUCUAGGCCGCCUCGCGCCGCCUCCCCGGGAGGUGGCCGGGGCGGAGCUCGCGCCCCUCGCCCGCAGNNNNNNNNNNNNNNNNNNNNNNNNNNNNNNNNNNNNNNNNNNNNNNNNNNNNNNNNNNNNNNNNNNNNNNNNNNNNNNNNNNNNNNNNNNNNNNNNNNNNNNNNNNNNNNNNNNNNNNNNNNNNNNNNNNNNNNNNNNNNNNNNNNNNNNNNNNNNNNNNNNNNNNNNNNNNNNNNNNNNNNNNNNNNNNNNNNNNNNNNNNNNNNNNNNNNNNNNNNNNNNNNNNNNNNNNNNNNNNNNNNNNNNNNNNNNNNNNNNNNNNNNNNNNNNNNNNNNNNNNNNNNNNNNNNNNNNNNNNNNNNNNNNNNNNNNNNNNNNNNNNNNNNNNNNNNNNNNNNNNNNNNNNNNNNNNNNNNNNNNNNNNNNNNNNNNNNNNNNNNNNNNNNNNNNNNNNNNNNNNNNNNNNNNNNNNNNNNNNNNNNNNNNNNNNNNNNNNNNNNNNNNNNNNNNNNNNNNNNNNNNNNNNNNNNNNNNNNNNNNNNNNNNNNNNNNNNNNNNNNNNNNNNNNNNNNNNNNNNNNNNNNNGGCCGGCGGCAGGCGUGGUGACGGCGCCGCUCCUUGGCGGCGGGGCGGCGUGGUGGUGCUGGGUGGCCAUCGACGCACCCCCGGCAUGGUCUCGUUGUGUGUGGCGCGGUGAGGAGGUGGAGCGGCUCGGACUUGGGGCGUCGGUGCUGACGGCGUGCCGGCAGCAGCGCGAAGGCGGGAGCUUUACGGGCCCACGAGGGCUCGGCCGGGCCUGUGGGCCUACGGGCCUGGUGUGCUCCUGCUAUUGCGUCCGGACGGCUACUGUCGCGGACGGUGGAGGUGGGGCCCUCCCGCGUGCCGAUGGUGCUGAUGCCCUAGUCCCGGCUCUGAUUCUUCGCCGUGCUGUCCUCACUUCGCGGUGCCGUGGUGAGACGGCGUGGAGGCCUCAUGACCGCGUUGGUGCAGGGUGGUGGUUGGUUUGGUGGCGGGAUCCGGAGCGCCCGAGGUGCGGGUUGGGAUCGGGGAAAACCCCUGUCGGCGUGGCCGACUCCGGCGCGGUGGCGCCUAUGGGUGCCACCUGACCUUCCGGGAGGGCGUCGGGGGCUACCCUUCCUCUCGCCUCGUCGUGUAUCGGGGGAAACCCUUGGCAGCAGCGUCGUCAUCGUCGUGAUCCUUCUUGGAGGUGUUGAUUGGUGCCGGCGCUUCGGAGUCUUGGAGCCUAGUGGAUGAGCCCGGUGGGCCCAGCGAUCGCGAGGCUUCUUCGUUUUUGUUGAUCCGCCGUUGUCGGCAUUUGUUUCUUUUGCUCUUUCCCUGUUGUUUCUUUUGGGCGUGAUUGUGCUGCUUUUGCCCCAGCAUCUAUCCCUGUAUGAUUCGGUUGGUUGCUUUGUAUACAAAGCGGGGGGAAACCCUUUUUCGGCAAAAAUCCUGCAGAAAUCAAUAUUUCUCUUUUUUUAUGAGUCGAUGCAGAAAACAAUUUGUUUUUUCUUUGAGGUUUUGCAGAAAUCAAUCAUGUGAACCAAACUGGGCCUCAGCAGAGCAUUGCAGCAGCUCCGGCCCGCCAUCGUACUGGCCCAUACAAUUCCGAAAAGCCCAACAAGCAACAAGCCCAUAUAACCCCUUGUAUCACACUCAAAACUAAGCUUUCGCUUCUCUCUCUCUCAAAAAAAAAACUAAGCUUUCGCCGAAAAAAACGAGGGAAGAAGAUCAAUGCAUCAAUGAAAAACAGGGGGCAGUAAAUAGCACAUGUUAAUUAUUACUCUAAUUAUUCAACAACACUUGGUCGGAAACCACACGGAGUUGCUACACACCACAGGGAAGAAGAAAAUCGGCCGAUCGAGAUACACAAAUCGUAGGGACGCACAGCAGUGGAGCAAGCAAAGUACUGUAGCAUCCACACCACACCACACCACACACUAGUAUAGUAAAGCUAUGGCGAGCCGAGCGGCUAUGCAGGCUAGGCGUCGAGCACGGUGGGGCACUGGAAGCCGUUGGGCGGGUGCUUGCCGCAGGUGAUGAGCAGCCGGAGCGCCACGGGGAGGUAGAUGUUGAUGUUGAGGACCCGCGCCCGGAUGGUGGUGCAGAGGCACAGCGCCGCGUCCAGGUCCGCCACCCCCUGCACCAGCGGGCAGCACUUGCUCCGCGCCUCCCGCCCGAUCACCAGGUGCACCAGCCCGCUCAGCACGUCCACGCACGCGUUCAGCUUCAGCGCGUCGAUCGGGCACGUCUUCCUCCCCGGCCCCGGCGACGGCGGCGGCACG
rnacentral:lncRNA from 1 species